rnacentral:lncRNA from 1 species
AAUUUAAUUAGUUUAUGAAUAAAAAAGACCAGGAGACAUGAUGGCGUUUAGUCGGUUGAUUGUCAUAAUAGGGUUGCCUUAAAAAAAAAGUAUUUCAAGCUCAAAUUGCAGGGUGGGCAAAGUAGUAAUAUAUCUAGAAGGUUCUCUACGAAUGUUGUAAACAAAAUGAAGUAUUUCAAAGAGAAUGCCUUUGAUUCUCUCAAGUGGAUUUGUUUAUCACUGAAAUUGAAUACAAACACAAUUGUUUUAGCCAUCUUAGUUAUAUGAGCAACAUCAGCGCACACUCACUCAACGAUCACUGAUGUUGUGAUUCAUAUUUAACCCAUUUGUGAUCAAUAGGCAAUAAGAACAUACUAUAUAUAUAAGCAAACCCCAUUGAGUCGUUAUCUCACCAAAAUCAAUUUUUUGUAGGUUCAUUUCACCAACUAUAUUAAUUAUUUCCUUGAUUACAUUCAACAUAAGAUGAAAUAUGAAACUCUCUCUCUACUAAUCCAAGUUACAACCCAUAAAUAUCUUUGUAGAUUUAAGUUUGAUAUGGUAGGAUGUGGAGAAUAAGUGAGAAGGCGCUAAGGUGAAAUACCCGACAUCUCAAUGGCUAGCAUAUUCCUUCCAUGAGACUAAUUUCAUUCCAUACGAAUGUGCUUCAUUUUUAUUUAGUAUAUGAGACGUUUGUUCAUAUUAUAUUUUUUCCCAUAUGCAUGAGGUAAAAUAUAAACCCAUUUCUGAGUGAUUUUCUUUGUGAGUGUAUGCCAUGUGAGGAUUAAAGUCAAAGCAAAAUUUCGGAGAGUUAUUUGAGAUAUAGUUGAUUAUGUACAUCAUGCAUACUUGAAGAGGUGAUUAUGUUGUUAAUGCAUUAUCUCAUACACUUGCACUAUAUAAUUUCUACAUAUGGAAAAACUUAAUUAUUUGUUCUUAUCUACUUAGUCAUUGAAUUGAUUGACAUUUCUGAAUAGUGUAGGGUAUUAGGCCGAUCAUUUGCAUCUUGCAUGUUUUCAUCUCAUUUGCAUGAAGUUUAUGGGUAUCUUCUCAGAAAAGUGCCAUGUUUUCAUCUCAUUUCCAUGUAGGAUAUUUUAACUAUUUAAAAAUUAAAUUUUAUCAUAAUGUACACCAUAUUUUGGGAAAAAGUAAAACCUUAAGUUUUAACAUUUAUUUUAAAACCAACCAUUGGAAACUCUAAAACUAUUAAUCACUUUUAACAUUAAGUUUAUGUUAAAACCUUUUGUCUCUCUCCUAUGUGGCAUCCCUAAAACCUUUUUACCAUUGGGAAUGCUCUUAAGGUUUAAGAGCAAUAAAAGUAUGUUUUUCUUAUUGAUGAUGACUUGUUCCUCAUCAAUCGAAAGUUAAACCCUUAGGGGAUAAGUAGCCUCCAUUGAUGAAAUCAUGAUAUUUUAAUAUAGAUUUUAUGCUUGUUCUUCAUUGAAUCAUUUUCAUGCAAAAUAGUAAUAAUAAUACUUUCAUGUUACCGUAUCGAGAGAGAAGUAAUAUGUUAUUUUAUCUUUUUUAGUGUUUUUGUAUGUCUACCAUGCCUACACACUUAAUACUUACAAUACCCGAGAGGUGAGUACAUAAUAGGGUUUCAAUAUAAACUUGGAUUGCUUAGAAGAUGACAUAUGUACACUUGCAUGGGUGGAACCAUAUGAUUGAUUAGUUAGUGUUUUGUCGCUUUGGGCUUCAUCCACUCCAUUCAUGCAUCUCAAGUAAAAUAGUUAGACGCAAUAAUUGAGAGGUGAGUGUUUAUCUAUCCCGACAAUAGCUGAGAGGUGAGCUGGAGAGCUACAAUAGUUGAAAGGUGAGUAACUAAGAACAUGCAUAUUAACUAGAUUAGUAUUAUGGUGGACUCAUGAGGUGAACAUGUCCCCUAUUCCCUUUAUUGAUCUUACCCCGUUUAGUAGUCGUAAUUAGAUUAGAAUUAGUUAACUUAGUUUAUUAUAAUUUCUCUACAAAAUAUUAUGACAUCUCCUUGGUAGCUUAUUUGUUUCUUUUUUAUUAGAGUGGAUUGCUACCCUUCUUUGCAGCUAUACAUCGAAUCCUUGGAAGGUUAUUGUUAUAAUGGUAUUGAGUCAAUGACAACAUCUCAUUAUUCAUCAAUCACAUCAACAUCCGUAUCCAUCUCAACCAUACUCAAUACCAUUACAACACGGCCAAGCUUUCCUUGUCAGAAUCCUGGCCAACAGGAUCAGCUCCCAGUAACCUUGUCAGAGUCCAUCCGGCACAAUCAGCUCCCGUAUGGUCUAGGUUAGAGAUUUGUGGUACAUGCACCCACAAUAUUCCUCAUGGAAAUUAGCACAGCUGAGAUGGGUUUGGUUGAGAAAUUCACAUUUUUAAGUCUACAACAUGGUCAAGAAACAAUAAAUUUUACAGGACUGCUCUUACUUCUCUUUCCACUCUCGGUCAGCUUUAGUGUUGUUCUUCCCCGAUAAUCUUGACCAUAUAAUUUUAAUUUAUUAAGCUGUUGUGUUUUUGUUACUAGACUAGCUUAAGGUCAUAUUACUCAUCAUCAUUGAUUUAAAUUAAUUUGAGCACUGUCGUUAAGUUUUUUGUAGUCUCACAAGAAAUAGAAAAUUUAGGUUGUGGCCCCAUUUUGUAUAUUGGGACGAGGGCCCAAUCACAAAAUGCCAAUGUUAUAAAAAAUUUAUUUAAUUAUUAGAUAGCACCUAUGUAUGGGUGUAGUGAACCCUACUAUGGAUGCGACCCAUAUUUCAAGCAAUGCCGUAAUGUUGCUUCUAUAGCUAAGGAUAUAUGUCAAGAUAAUUCAGCAUAAUAUAAAAAAACAUAAAUAAUUUUGGAUUUCUUGGUACAUUUCGAGAUACGAGAAAUUAGUAUUGUACUCAUUUAUAAUGUCAGGCGAUGACUUAUAGGUGUGGCCGUUUGGGGGUGUGGCUGGGGUGGGUCCUAGUUCAAACACAAAUUUAUGGCCACUUUUACAUUGGAAAUGCAUUGAGUUUCAUUUUUGUUGUGCGAUAUGCAACUUAUCUUCAAUUUUGGUAGAUUUUGUUGGGGGUCGAGCAGUUUUUGCUUAACGACACUACCGAAAACUUGUUGAACAUCGUUUGUUGCCAGACCAAUGUGAAAUAAAGAUUUUUUUUUUUUUUUUUUUUAAAAGUUUUUAUUUUUAAUUUUUAGAUUAAAUCCAUCUAUGUUUGGUUUUCAUUUUUAGUGUAGUCAUUUCGGAGAGAGAAUAUUUGGUUAAGUGCAUGUCCAACUUUAAUAAUAGAAAAUAUAGAUGAAAUUGCAAAGAAAGUCUUUAAACUGUAACCCACUUAUUAAUAUUGUAUAAGUGCAUUACUCAUCUUUCCUAAAUUUAGAGUAAACUAAAUUCUCUUCAAUCUCAAUAAAAAGUGACUAUAGAUACUAACCUAAAAAAAUAAAUGCUUAGAGUAAUUACAUACUAACCAAAGAAAAUAGUUAUAGAUUUUUAGCUUUUGUUAUAGUUUAAUCAUAUUGCAACAAAUAAGGCUUGUUGAGUGCUAUAAGCUAAACAUCUUUUAAAGUACAACCAACAUUAUCAACUGCAUUAAAUAAUUUGGAAUGUGCACCAAAACUUUUGUUGAUUACUAAGUGAAUACAAUUCAUUAAUUAUCUAAUACUCUUUAUAAAUUAGAUUUUUUGAAUAACAUAAUAAAAAAUAUUAAAUAACAAUACCUUGAGAUGGUCCAAUUGUUAAUAUUUUAAUAUGUUGGGCAUGAAAUACUCCAAAUAAAAUUGCUUCUUUAAAAUGUUUUUACCUGAAAAAUCUUUUAAUCUCCCAAGCUUAGCUAUGUAGUGAACAUACUGUCAUUUUUUUAGGGGGUAAAGUUUAUCAAUGUUUGUUUUACCAAUUUUUAAGAUCAUUGGAGUAACAUUUUCAAUUGAUGAAUAGACAUAUGGGCUAUUGUUAUCGCCUUAUCGGCUGAGUAAACUGUCAAUAUUUCCUAUUGUUAUAUAUACAUGUCAUCCUGCUUUUUGGAGAAGUUGAACCACCUAUUUGCUUACAACGUCAUGGUCUAAGUAGAUUUUGUAGGUGGUUCUUCCUCCUUGUUGGAAGAUCAAACCACUAAUAAAAAUACAAAAACUGCACCAAAAAUGAGUUUAAUGAAGAAAAAUAAAGAAUGAUCAAAUGCAAGAAGAUGAAAUACUUAAGUAUGUGAAAGUUGAUUUUAAGCAUACCUCUUAAUUUCUAGACUUCUUCUGGCAAAAGAUAUGCAGCAAAUCCAUUCAAGUUUUUGAUGACUUUCAACAAUCUUUUCUCUUCACUGCAAAACAUUUAAACAACGAAAAUAAAGAGAAAUUAAAACAAAUAAUAAACUUAUUCUAAUUUAUACUUAAUUGUUUAAAAAAACACUAAUUUAUAUACUUACAUUGUUGUUUUCUUAAGAAGUUGAACAACCAUUUCUCUACUCCAAACUUCAUGGUCUAAGUAAACCAUGUCUACUCCCAACUUCAUGGUAUAAUUAAGUAGACCAUGUAGGUGUUUCUUCCUCCAUGUUGGGAGGAAGAAACUACAAAUGAAAAUACAAAAUUGGUAAAAAAAAUGGUUUUUCACGAUGAAGAAGAAAUGAAGAAUCGACGAUGUGAUCAUGAUGGAAGAUAAAAUACUUAAAUAUGUAAAAGUUGAUUCUUAGCCAUAAUUAGUGAAGACUCACAAAAACACGUUUAUGUAAAUUCAUGAAUGUGUUUUUUGAGUAUAUAUCAAUACAUGUAGGCUAAUCACUUUUAAGUUGGUUACUAAUUUAGGGAACUACUUGCUUCCAAUUAUUGUUUACAAAAGUAUGUAUUGCAAAGGAAGAAAAACAAAAUGUUUUUUAUAACAGUUUAUUGUAACAGGGUGAUCAUGAGAUAAUGUAUGUAUUCUUUAUAUCCAAUAAUAAAGCUUUUUUAUCCAUCAAAACAAAUAAAGAUUUUUGUCUAUCAAAGUAAAAAUAAUUUACAUGAAAAACUUUAAAAUUGUGUUUGCGAUAAAAAAGAGACAUAGGAAGAAGCUUGAAGAACUCAAGCCUUCUAGAAAACUCUCAUUGCAAUUACUACAACAUGGAGAUUAGAAUGCAAACUGAGAUUGUUAGUUUGUUAGAUCCUAUAUUGGAUCAUAUAAAAAUAUUAUAUUAUAUUUGACACUUAAAAUAUAACAUUUAACAUUAGAUAAUAUUGGCAAUAUAAUAUAAUAUUGAUAAUAAUAUAACAUUUUUACAUGAUCCAACGUAGGAUUAUUCAUAAGCCGUCACAUUAUAUAAAAAUGUUAUACGUUCGAUUUCAAAAAAUUCAUAUAUAAUUGUCCAAUUUAAAGUGUAUUUUCAUUAUUAAAAUUCUUAUAUGACUGUCAAAAUGGUCAAAUCGGGUUAAGUAGAUUGUCAAAACUAACAAGUAGCUCUAAAAAAAUUUACAAUCUCGAUUACACGCAUUUGUUUUGGAUGAUUUGUUGACACAUGCAAAUAUGCUUUUUGAGCCUCACCCAUCACAACUCAGUACUCACAAGGAGGACCAUUCAUAAUGGAUACUGUACAAUCAAGAAUCAAACAUCAAAACACUUGGUACGACGGAGAUUGAUAUAUGUUUUGAGGAUUUUACUGUCACCGUGUAAGUUGACCUCUUGUUUUCCACAUUUUUUUACGGUUCGGUAAAAUAUCGUUGAAAACCUUGUUGUUGUAGCACAAAGGUGGAGUUGGAUGAAAAAGUAAUUUAGCUCAUCUGAACCUUGUGCUAGUGAGACGUUAUUUGAGCAACCUGAAUGAUUGAAACCCCCCAUGCAAAGGAACAAGAUAUGGGAGCUUGGUGUUAUGUCAUAGACAAAACCUGGAUCUAAUGCCCUGACUGGGUCAACAUUUCCGGACCCAUAAGCGAGUUCUGUAUCAUAUUUAUGAAUUCCUCUAAUCUCAGUAGUUGCAAUAUAUCCAUAAAAGAAAAAAAAAAUGAUCAGAUAAUUAGACUUUGAACAUACAUUUCAAAAAUGAAUAUAUCCAGACCUUACAAGACUAAGCCACCCAUCUACAUUAACAACUCUAGGCAUCAAAUUUCCUACAAUCUGAUAUUCUUCUACUUCAACCCUAGUGUUCCUGGCCAUAACUUAUUUCUUAAAAAACUUUCAAACACAAUAGCAGACACAGAACAAGAAAGUAAUAACAAUUCGUAGUUAAUUUUAUAUGCCCGUUAUCCCCUAUUUAUAGCAAAAUACACACUCACGUUCACUUAAUGAUGCCCUAUCGACCUUCCUUGAUUUUCUCAAAGACGCGUCGGUGACCGAGGCAACUCUUCAAAUUCCCACAGAUAACUACUUUUCCGCCAAAACUUGCUAACAUGUCAGUACUUACUUAUAAUAGAACUAAAAACCAUCUCAUCAAACCAUGACAUCAAUCACCUUUUCAAUCACAUCAUUUGGGGACUAUGAUCACUGAAUGUGUAAUGGUAAAUUUUAGUAUUCUUGAGGAUCCUAGAAAGAAUCUUAGAAGAGGGGCUAACCUAAGACGUAGGAUUAGCCUCUGGAUGGCCAGAAGAACCAGGAUACCACUUGAUAGACUUAUCUAGAAGGUCCUAGACAGGCUUGAUGCCCAAAGAAGGAAUCCAAGUCCAAGAAGGAAUAAGCAACCGACCUAGGUUUUGUAUUUAGAAACCCUUCUAGAAAGACUUCUAGUGCAUAAGGAAACCUAUGUAAAUAAAAAUUCUAGUCUUAGAAGGAUUCUAGACCGACAUGGUACACACAAGGAAGGUUCCUAUGCCCAUGGAACUCUUCCACAAGAAGAAGAUGAUCGACUUAGUACCCUAUAUAAAGACAACCUCGCCAAGACAUAAAGGUAACGAAUUCUAGCCAGACAAACUAGGGUUUAAUAAUCUUUCUUGCUGACUUGAGCGUCGGAGUGCCUACGGCCACACCACCCCCGGUAUGUCAUUGGGUUUCUAACAUUGUUUAGCAGGUUUCGAGUUAAAGAUGAUCAUUGGGAGCUAAGUUGAAGAUUGAUUGUUGGUGGGAGCAGAAAACAUCCUCCAUAAUUUGACACUGACUGAAGGGAGGCAACAUUAGACUUGUGUUGUAUCUACAAAUUUGGAUUUUUUAGAAGAUCGCCAUGGCUCCUUCAACAAGGAACAAAAACGCAUUAACUUCACAACAAGAAGAAGUUCCACAUGAAGAACAACUUUAACAACAAGAACAGCGAGAGCAACAUGAGGAGGAAGAAUCAUUAGAAGAGCAAGUUCCAGAAAAAGAAAAAAAAACUCGUCAGACUUCAGAUCUAAUCUAAGAAGCGGAUACUAGACAUGAAGAGAAAAUCCGUGUAAUGGAAGAUCAACACAUGAAUCAAGUAGAAUAUCUCACCGUGAAGGUUAGGAAGAUGAUAACUUAAGGAAAGAAGCCAACUGUCCAAGAGGAAGCUAGACCUUCUAGAAAAAAUAACAAUCUUGAAAAAGAAAUGGUUGAGGUAGAAAUAAAGUCAGGAGCAAGAACAUGGAUGCUAGAAGCUAUCUCAAUCCUGAAGAAAGAAACAAGAACAAGUGCCAAAGAUCGGAUUCGCAGAAGAAAUCGCCACAAGGAUCCUGGAUCCUCAGAUUCAGAUUCCGGCUUGUCCACAUCUUCCAACGAGGAUCCCAAGCAGAGAAGGCGAACACGCAAUUAUGCAGAAAAAAGGAAGACAUAAGCUAUUCAACCAUUGGGACCUACUCAUAUGACCCAAGAAAACCCCCCACAAAGAAGCAACAUGAUGGACGAACUCUUUGUGACAAUGACUAUACAUGGAACCAAUGUAAGUCCAUAUUGAAUACCUUCAAUAUGCCCUAGAAAAGAAUUAGAAUAAUAGGGCUUAGAAGAUACACUUAGUAAAUCUAGGGGGAUUAAUUAAGCUCUAAAUUUGGGGGUGGUGUGGCCAAAGGUUCAGGCCGACAUGUUUUCUUUUCUAUACAUGAUCUUGAUCUUCAUCCCGUAGUCGAGGGUUCGAUCCCUUUAGUCGACGCCAAAUUGUGGAGGAUGUUUUCUGCUUCCUCCAACAAUCAAUCUUCAACUUAGCUCCCAAUAUUCACCUACAACUUGGAACCUGCAAAACAAUAUGAUAGAAACCCAAGGACACACCGAGGGUGGUGUGGUCGUAGGUACUUCGACGCUCAAGUUAGUAAGGAAGAUGAUUAAACCCUAGUUUGUUUGGCUAGAAUUUGUUACCUUUGUGUCUUGGUGAGGUUGUCUUUAAAUUGGGUCCUAAGUCGGUCAUCUUCUACUUGUGGAAGAGUUCCAAUGAGCCUAGGAACUUUCCUUGUGUAUACCAUAUCGGCCUGGAAUCAUAUGCUUCUAAGUCUACGAUUGUUAUUUUCAUGGGUUUUUAUACACGCUAAAAGUUUUUCUAGAAGGGUUUCUAAAUAAGAAACCUAGGACGGUUCCUUAUUCCUUCUUGGACUUGGAUUCCUUCCUUGGGCGUCAAGUCUAUCUAGGACAUUCUAAAACCUUCUAGAUAAGUCUAUCAACUUGGUUCUGAUCCUUCUGGCCAUCCAGAGGCUAAUCCUACAUCUUAGGUUAGCUUCAGGAGUUCUACUCAAGUUCCUCAAAUACUCAUGUAUCCUGACUAGUUUCCUGAGGUUAGCCUAGGUUCAUGGAUGUCUUCCAGUCCUGUAUUUUGUAUGAUCUUUUUUUUCUAAGAUUCUGUCUAGAAUCCUCAAGAAUACCAAAAUUUACCCCUACACUUUAUAGUGUUUCGGGCGUACAUCCACUCUCAAAGAGGCAUUAUCUAGCCUUUAGAAAUGCAAUUAAAGCAAACCGGUUACACCUAGUACACCACUUAUUUAACCACAAGUCACCCUUGUGAGAUCUCUAACUUCUCAAAACUUUGAGUACGUAGAGAUACCCUAAUCCUUAACCUAGAUCAAUCUAGAGUUUCACCUUUUAAUUAGUUACAACUAGAAUCAAUCAAUGAAGAUACCCUUCUUAAAUGUUUUCUCAAUAGAAAGUAAAGAGUACAGUAAAUAAAGCUCAAUUGUUGAGUGAAUGAAUCUCAACACUACAACCACACACCUCACAAAAGAGUAGGUGUUAAUGACGAUGGUGGUGUUGUAUUAAUGGGGUAUGGAUGGAUUCUAAGUAAUUGCUUAUCUAGGGUUUGAUAUGUCUUUAGAUUUGUAGAGCAAACACUAUCAAAGCUUCUUCAAGAUUUCUCUUGUCUUAAAUAAGACAACAAAACCAAAUAGAUCUGUUGGUCAAACGAGGUUGACAGGUUCUACAAGUCUGGGGUCAAGUCAACCUUUUACCCAACAUUAGUAGGAGUUGUUCAAGCGCCUUAGCCUUAAAGUCUAUCAGCCUUUAUGAUUUUCACUGAAUGAGGCUUCAAUUCUUCUGGGGUCUUAAUGUCUUCAAUAUCUUGAGUCUUCGUGGUUUUCAGAUGUCUUUAAUGUCUUCAUACAAAAACAUUCCUCGUAGAGACUCACAACAUGUAAGUUUACAUAUUAUAACUUUAAUACCCUUGGCAUAAUUCACAAUACAUACAAAUAUGACUUUACAUAAGGCACUUAGGCAUAAGCCUAUCAAUGGAUCGGUUUGAUUUGGAUCUCGCACUGAUCCGAACUGAUCCACUUUAUUAUUAUUCGAACCGAUCCAAUUUAAGAAUGGAUUGUAAGAGUUGGAUAGUAAACCGAUCCGAAAAUAAUACUGGAUAAUCCGACCCGAUCCGAAUCGAUCCAAAUUGUUUUUUUCGAGCUUUUACUGAUUUAGAUGAAUUACUUGACUGGACGAUUUUGAGAGAGAGAGAGAAAGAGAGAGAGAGAGAGAUUCAAAUUAUCAAGCUUCAACCUUAAAAAUUACUAAUUGUUAUUGAAGAAGAACAUUUGAUCUCCACCGUCACCGAGCUCACUUAAACUGAACUAGAUUUCAAUCCCGCCAUUAAUUGUGCUACAAUUGGUUCAAAGAUUGUUUGCACCAAGCAACAAUUUUGCAGGUUGAGAAGUACUAGAAUAAGAAAAAUAGCCUUUAUAAUGAAUUUUAUAUUUAAGAGAAGAUUAAGUGAAAUUGAUGAGAUGGUUUUACGAUGAAUGAGGAAGAUCAAUUUAGCUUGCCAAGCUUCAAACUUUGAACUUGAAAUUGCUGGUUAUAUUAAAGAUAAUUUGAUCUCCAUUGAAAGCUUCAAGCUUAUGAGAGACCGAGAUAAUUGGAAGAAUUGUGGUUUUUUGGAACCAAGAGAUAAGGAGAUGAUGAUGGAUCAAUAGAAAUAUUAGUAUCACUAAAACACGCACUAUCGGAUCGGAUCAGUUUUUCCUUUGAUAUUAUCUGAACCAAACCGAAAUUGAAAUGGAUAUCCAAAAACCAUUUCAAGUGGUCCGAAAUCCAAAUGGAUAUCCAAAACUCCAAAAAUAACGGAUCAAAACGGUUUUGGAUAGGUGAUCCAUAGGUUUGGAUAGUUGAUAGCCCUACUUAGGCACACCUGACACUACCUUGGUCGGUGGUGCCUAGCCUCAAGCCACAACCACGGCCAGUUGUUGUUUUGCACAUUUUGUCCAGGCGUGAGGUGUACAAACAUUUUUGAAUCCUUAAUUAAAUGAUCUCAACCAGAGUCCAAGUACACUACACACACUUCAUACCACCUCCACAAAUCAGGGACCUUGUCAUUUCGACAAACAGACUAAAGAUUUAUGUGAAUCAACAUUUUGCCUUUUAUUUUUCUCUUGAUUCAUUACCAAACAUUAAAAUAUACUUUUAUACAUGCAUUCCACAAUCCUUGCUUAUAGAUAGUCACAUCAGUCGUCCAGAGUCUAAAACUUAGUCCAUCUUCUUCAUCAUAGUUGCACACCUGCUGUAAGCCCGUAAUCCUAAAAUUAAUUUAAAAUACAAAUAUAUAGUAAUACAAUAAAGGCAUCUUGGACAAGAAACUAAGCUUUUACAGCUAGAAGUUGGAUAUGUACACCAAUAGAAUUAGACCUGGGAUGCUCUGGGCUUGGUGACCUCGUAGUGUUUCUGCAUUUUAGUUGAACUUGUAACCAAAAUUUGCCUCAAGAUAGCUUACUCUGCACGGUGUUUUUAUUUUAUUUUUUCCAAAACAAUUUUUUUUUUUUUUUAGAAGAAAACCUAUUUUAUUUUAUUAUUUUAUUGUAAUGGUAAGCAUGUUUCAAUGAGAUCAGUAACUCAAAGAUGCACUUUUGCAAUCGAACUCCAGACCUCUGGUAUCAUCGCCCAGAGGUAUUACCAACUGGGCUCAGCUGGCACUACAAAUAAAAAUGUUGUGGUAAUCCUGCUUUUAAUGAGAACAUUAACUCAAUAAUGUUGGCGGAAUUCGAAUCCCAGACCUCUGGUAUCAUCACCCAAAGGUUUUACCAGUUGAACCCAACUGGCACCUUCGUAUUGAUGCGACCUGAAACAAUACUAUUUAAAUAAUAUAUUUUUAUUAUUUUUUAGAGGAUUUGUUUUAAAGUAAAAAACAAAGUCAAAAGUCCAAAAUAAUAAAAGUACCUUAGUAUAAGCAUGUAAAAUGUUAUUGGAUUAUAGACCUAUAAUAAAAAAAAAAAUCGAGAACUGAACCGGACCAGACCAAUUGGAUUUUUAGGUCUAUAUUAGGUCGGUUUGGUCCUGAUCCUACAACUACCUUGGACCAACCGGACCGAUGCCCACCACUAGUGUUUAGGUUGUUCAGUCAACUAUUAACAUAAUAAACUGACGUUAAAAGAGAUAAAUCUUAACAAAAUUCAUUAUAACUAAAAUUGAACACCAACAGCUAUUGCAUUUUGAGUCUUGUAUAACAAGGAGAUAUCUUUAUUUUAUACUAUACAAGAACCUACCCAUAAAAAAAAUAUUCUCUCACCUAACUGGCUAAAAUUGAUAGCCUAAUUGAGAAGCAUUUCAAUCCAAUUUAGAUAGAUUAGUAAUUUUACAAUUCAUUUUUAGGGGCCUUCAAUGUAAUUUCACACUCUAUCAUAAUUAUCUUCCUUAUCAUUAUUCUUUUCUAUAUAAUAAUUACAUACCUUGGUUAUUGGUAAAAUUAAAACAAGUCAUAAAUAAAUAAAUAAAAUACACACCAUUUGUAUUGUUUCAUCACACUCACACAUCAUUCUCCUAAAAUACCAUUUUCGCAAAUCAACUAAUUUUUUUAUAACUGAUGAACACGUAAUAUCUAUAAUUAUUACAUCCCUAUUUACACUAGUUAGUCUAUUUAAUUAAUAUAUUUGAUCUAAAUAAGGUAUUUUUAUGUUUUGAUAGGAAUAAGAGCUUAUUGCAUGAAAGUAGCAGAAAGAUCGUGAUUUGGUGCAUAAUGAAGCGGGUUUGAAAUUCGUGUUAAAGCCCAUUCAUUUCAGUGUUUAUUGGACUUGGCCCAAUUAGAAUGGAUACCACAUGGACAUACGGCCACAUGAAAGGGAAAGAGAAAUAUUGACAAGAAUCAUGGCAGUUGAAAAUAUCAUUACGAUACAAUGGUCCACAUCCCAUUAAAACAACCAUUCAUACUUUGGACCAUUUCAACUAUUCUCAUUCAACUUUGAUUUCAACGUAUCCAAAGUCCCAAACUCAUUUUCUCUCUACCAUUUAAUGUUCCAAAACUUUACUCCCCUUUUCAAACCAAUAAAUAGUACAAAGUACUAUUUACAUAUCACCUCACCAAACCAAAUCUCUCACAUUUUUCUUUCAUUCAUUUUACCAAGACAACUAUUCCAUCAACAUUACACUAUUACAUUUACCAAAUCAAUUGGAACCAUUGAAAAACACAUGAGAAAAGUUUUGGUAUCUACUUGUUGAAGUCUUAUAUAGUGGCUAUAGGUGGUGUUAUAGGAGUGGCUAUGUGGCUAUUAAAUGAAGAAGAAGACCAUGCUUGCUUUCUACGUGAUUGCAUGAAUCUCAUUGCCUAUAUAAAGACAUGCAUAUCAUUUGCUUGGAGGAGGAGUUUGGGGGGAGAUACAAAGUGGAGUAAGCUAGAACCUUGUAAGCUUAGCAAUAUAUAAUGAAAGUUACACUCUUUUGUAUUUUUAUCUUCCAUUAUGAAUAGCUAAUGUAGGGGUACUACAUACUCCGACCAAUUAAAAGCAGCCACGUGGCACAGUCAUCCAUCCAUCAGGUCGCCACGGUCUCUACCUGCUAGCAGCUCGACUAAAGCGACCCGAUUACACAACGAGCAGCGACCUGCUAUACACACGUGCUCUUAUUCAAUGCACAGAAUAUUCUCAUCAGUUACAUAAUUAAUUCACAGGGAUGAUCCUCGCGCGUUACACAUUUAAUCCUCAUUAUGGUGACGGAGAAUCUGCAAGAUCCACGAUCCACGCCCUUCUAUCUUCUAUAUAAACAGAACUACGAUGGCUUGAUCUCUAAGUUCAAUUCCCCCGAGCUAGAGUACGUAGGCAAUCUCGAUCUCAACGAGGUGCAGCCACCCCGAUCUCAAACAUCCCCAUUUGGUCAAGUCUUCCCAACGACCUGACCCAGCAGUGCAUUAAUCUAGAAAUAGGUUAAUACAGCUAAAUUAUUUAACUAGGAUUGAGGAGGAAACUAUCAUUAUGAAUAUCUGCCUUUCAUUUUAGUAUUUAACGAUUACUAAUCUUGCUUUAUUUGAUAUAAGCUUUGGUUUUGUAAUUCCCUAACUCAAUUUCUUUGAUUAUGUAUAUUUCUGUUUGAUAAAUCAUACUUAGAUUAAAUUCUUUGAUGGUUUAUACUUAUGUUGAUACAUAAUUCUUAGAGUUGUUGUUUUUGAAAGCGAAGAAGAUUAAACUUAUUUGCUUCUAUUUUUAAAAUAAAAUUAAACGUUGUAUUUUCCAUAUCAUUAUUAUUGAUUUAUAAUAAUGAUAUGAGUUAUAGAAAAAGAUUAAUUAGUGGAGAAUAGGUUUUGUCGAAUAUGAAUAGUGAUGGUGGAAUCCAAUAUAUCCUAGUGUUUCUCUUAAUUAUUUGAAUCUUAUAUUUUACUGUUUUCGUUUAAUUAGUUAUAAUUCAGAAUCUCAUUAUAAAAAGUUUACUAGGAUUAAAAUUUAGUUAGUCUUACAUUUGAUUUUUAUAUGUCCUGUCCUCGUGGAUCGAUUCGUACUUGUUCUAUUUAUUUCGAUAAAUCGUGUGAUUACGAUAUUAUUAAGUGUUUUCACGACAAUCAAAUUGGCGCCGUUGCCGAGGACAAGUAAAAGUACUAAAAGUCAAAUAUUAGCUAAUUAGAUAUUUCUCUCUAGUAUUAUUUAUCUAAUUAAACAAACAAAACAAAACAAAAAUUAGAAAUUAUUUUAUUUUCUAGUCAUUUUUAUCUUUUUACGCUCUUUGGUAUUAGUGACUGUUUUUGCAGGACAGCAGUAGAAAUCAGACCAUCAGACGGACUUUUAGAGAUCCGAUUGAGCUGAAAUUUUUACACAAGGUUCCCCAGACAGUCAGGAACGUCCUGGAAGUUUUCCAGAAUUUUUGAGGACAUUCUUCCUGCCGAACUACACUGACCAGCAAAGUGCCAAAACCUUUUAUUUAUUUUUUCAAUUUUAUUUGCAACUUUGCAAUAUUUAUUUUAAAUUUGUAAUAUUAAGAAGGACAACAAGGGAUUAAUAGGCGAUUGGCUCGCUUGUUUCUGCACUUGGUUCGAAAACUAGAAUCAUUCUGGUGGCUAGCAAGCUAAGGUGAGCUUAUAUUUUUCUUAGCCGCGAAUCUCUUGUUAGCGGUUAAAUUUUUGUGUGGUGUUUUAUGCAAUUUACUUUAUCAUCUUUUAUUUAUUUUUAGGUUUCAAUUAUUAGGUUGUGAGAACCUCUUGAAAGGAAGCAACUGCUAGCCACUCUAUUGAGAAUCAAUCUCCCUUUUGGUUUGGACAAGUGUGUUUCACGACAAUCAAUAACAUGUCUCAAAAGUUCUAUAGUAUGUAUUAACUAUUUUUUCUUUACCUAUACAAGAAAAUAUCCUUAAAAAAUCUCUCUCCAAAAUAACAUAAAUUAAUAGUACAUUUCGCAAGAAUAACAAUUCAAAAUAGCAUAACCGGUAUUACCCCAAUCAUACAAAUAAUUGUAAUCGAUUUGCCCAUCUUCAAAAUGACUUAAAUUGAUAACCUUUACAAGCAUUUUUAUCUAAUUGAUAUAAUUCUUAACGACUCUAAAUAGUCAGUACUCAGUAGCAAGUCUUCACAAAAAUUGCAAUUUAAUUUUCCUCUCUCCACAAUUAAUAGCCCAGAUCGCAAGAAUUUGUAAUUUUUUUUUUUUUUUGGUUAAAAAGUACUUUCAUAUAUGAAGUAAACAAAUAAGUUCUAUAGAGUUUAACACUAUAUCAGGGUAAGGUCCCAUGACCAUCUGGUAUAGAGCCCAUCUGGCUACUUUAUUGGCCUCCCUGUUACAGACUCUACUAUGCGAAAAAUUUGUAAUCUGAUUUUUUUCUUUUUCCAAAAUAAUAUCAUUGGUAGUCGAAUUUACAAGCAUUGAUAUCCACUUUGGAUAAUUUUUAAACGGGUCUCAAAUCCUUCUUCUUUACAAUAUAACGAAGCACACUUAAGAAAUACCCUCUCUCCAAAAUAAUAAAAAUGGAUAUUGUAAUCCACGAGAAAUAUAACUCAAAUAUUAUCUCCAAAAUAUCAUAAUCACAAGAAUUGCGGUUCAAUUUUUCUCUCUUCAAAAUGGCAUAGGUUGAAAGCCUAACUUACAUGUAUUGCAAUUCAAGUUUGAUAACUUUUAUAAUGAGUCUUAAACAACGGGUCACAAAUCUUUCUCUUCGAAAUAAAACACAAUAAUACAAAUGAACUGUCCUACUAGCCCUGCCAACUUUAGACUAAUCAGUUUGUGCAACUUUUGUUUUAAGAUCAUCUCUAAACUAUUGGCUAAUAGACUCAAAUCCUUCUUAGAUAGGUUCAUCUCACCUUUUCAAGGUGCCUUUGUUAAAGGUAGAAACAUAGGUGAAAACUCAGCCAUUGUCCAUGUUUUCCAUCAAAUAAAAACUAUGAAAAAAAAAAAAAAAAAAAAAAAAAAAACCUGGUGGAUGGCAGUGAAAAUGGGCAUGUCCAAGGCUUAUGAUAGAGUGGAGUGGAUCUAAUCAUGAAUAUUUUAGAAAAACUAGGGUUUGGAGUGAAAUGGAGACACCUUGUACUUCAAUGUUUGUCUACGGUUAACUUUAAUGUUUUGAUCAAUGGAAAGCCUAGUCACAGCUUUGCACUAGGCAGGGGUCUCAGACAAGGAGACCCCUUAUCUCCAUACUUUUUUAUCCUUGUCAGCGAAGCCCUUUAAAGAAUGAUUGUGAAAGCUGAAGAAGGAAAUAGAAUUAGUGGGAUUAAAGCAAGAAAGAAUGCACCUGGUAUCACUCAUCUGUUAUAUGCAGAUGACCUAAUUUUAUUUUGUAAAGCUACCUUUGAGGAAGAAGGUAACUUGUUAGGGGUUAUUAAAGAUUACUGUAGGGAGUCAGACCAAGAAGUUAACUUUGAGAAGUCCUCAGCAUACUUUAGUGCUAAUGUCCACCAGAGGCACCAAGGGAUGUUGAGAAAAUUGUGGAAAGUGAAAAGCUUCAAUGUCAAAGAUCAAUACUUAGGAGUCCCUGUGAUGGUAGGAAGAUCUAAGGUUCAGGAUUUUCAAUUUCUAGUGGAUAAUGUUAAGAAGAAAGUGGCAGACUGGAGGGCCAAGGUCCUGUCACAAGUGGGCAGAACAGUUUUGAUCAAAGCUGUAGUUGCUGCCACCCCGAUUUACACUAUGGCAUCUUAUCCACUCCCAAUCUCUAUCACAGAUAAAAUCACUUCUAUCUGUAGAGAUUUUUGGUGGCAUGGUAAAGAGGGGUCUAAGUCUAUCACACAAUAGCAUGGGAUAAAUUAGAGAAACCAAAGUUAGAAAGGGGCUUGGGAUUUAGAAACUUUAAAGAUAUGAACCUAGCUCUCCUAACUAAACUUUGGUGGAAACUAAAAAAUGAUGAAGGAUCUGUUUGGGGCAACACUUCCAAAGCUAUUUACCCAAACUUGGAUUCACUUUGGAAAUCGAAAACCAAUAGUCCUAAAGAGGCUUUUUUUUUUUUUUGAGUAUGAUUAAGGCAGCAGAGAAUUUUGGCAAAGGACUUGUUAUCUGUAUAGGGAAUGGGAAAGACACAGCGUUUUGGAAGGAUCCUUGGAUAGUCUGGCAAGGGGUUCCAACAUGUUUGAAAGAACUUGUUGAUGACAUUCCCAGACCAGUUGACAAGGUAAUAAACUUUAUGGAUCCUGUGACUAGUGCUUGGAAUAUCCAGAUGUUUUUGGAUGUUCUCCCCCCACCUCUUGUCUCAAUCAUUUCACAUAUCCCUCUAAGACAUCAUUCUAUUGAUGAUUCUUUUAAGUGGAAUGUUGCUGAUUAUGGAGUUUUCUCAUCCAAAUCUACUUACUACCUAACCAACCAUAGAGCUACUUCUUCCAGCAAUCCCUGAGUUGAAAAAAAACUUGUUUAAGAAACUUUGGAAUCUGAAGAUUCCAUCUUCAGUUCAACUUUUCCUUUGGAACAUUUAUAAAUGCAUUUUGCCUAUAGGGGAUAUUCUAGGGAAGCACAAGAUUAAUGGGGAUUUGGGUUGUGUCUGGUGUAAUGCUUGUGUAGAAUCUCAUGACCACUUUUUCCUUAGUUGCAGUUGGGUUCAGAGAAUUUGGUACUAUUGCCUGGGUGAUCGAGGGUGUAAAAAAAAUCAGUUCCAUCUCUCUUAUAGUAUUUUUUUGCUUUAUGAAUUGUGGAUUAUGUUAAAUAAAAUUAAGUAUGGAGAGGUGAGACUCAGCAAAGACAGUGUUAUGGCUGUUGUGAUUGAAUCUGCUAACCACUCAUGGACAAACUGGUGGAACGAUUAAGUUAAUUAUGGGUCACUUAAUCCUAGAUCUUUGUCCUCUUUUCAGAAUGAUGUUAUGUCUCAGGUGAUUGAUGAAGAAAUUAUCCUAAUAAUUACUGAUGAUGCUUUUAACAGGUGUAGUAGUAGAGGUGCAAUUGGGAUAAUUGCUAGAAAGGCCAAUGAUACAGUUUUGGCUACUGGAUACAGGAGAAUAAUCAAAGCUAGAAAUGCUCAGAAAUUUGAACUAGUUGUUGUGGAGGGUGCACUUUUCUUUGCAAUAAAAAAAAGUUAUAAAAAAAAUCAGAGUGGAGGGUGAUUGCCAAUAUGUGAUGAAGGCCUGCAUGAGAAGAUAUCAAAGUCCAGACUUAAGUUGGCAAUGCUCAACUAUUUUCCAUAAUGUUCAUCUCAUGUCUUCUUCUUUUGUCCUAGUGUCUUUUAACUGGAUUAGUAGGGUCUGAAAUAGUAAGGCACAUGAUGUUGCCAAUGGGCUCACAACCAUCUGGCCAUGAGUUCUUACCCUUCUGUUAUUUUAAGUUCUGUAGAUGCUCCCAUAUAUAAAAAUUAGUCUUUAAAGCGAAAAAAAUAAUAAUGCAAAUGAACGGAUUUUUGUGUUGCGUGGUUCAGAAUAUGGCAACUUUUUGCAAAAAGAAAUUGCCAAUGAUAACAUGAGAUGUGUUUAUUUUUAUAGCUACAAACAAAUAUUUAUAUGAGGAUGCAAGAAGUCUUAUUAAGUUGAACCUAUAUCCAACCGGCGUACUUGAACGUCCUUCAUCCACAUGCCCUACCAUCUCUUACGUUGAAGCUAAAAUAAGACUCGCAAAUUGUGUAAUGAAAUCUGGCACAUAUUUAUGGUUUUCGCAAUGGAACUCAGUUGAUGGUGACAUGUUGUGCUUAUAUUUCUAUUCGAUAGGGAGACAAGGCAGGUGAAGUAGUGUUUAUACCAACCAUAUCUUUGACUAAAUCAUCUACUUAUUUUCCUUAUGAAAUGACAAGGAAAAAAUUCCAGUUCGAUUCACUUAAUCAAAUGAAGUUAUCUUUCGAGGACUCAAUGGCGAAAUAAUAUCUUUUAGCUCCUUUAAACCAAAUAGUCCACUUCAACUUAGGCCAUUCAAACAAAUUAUAUAUUAAGUGUUUUGUAAUAUUAUAUAAAUGAACUAAGCCAAUUAUAAUUAUAGAGCAAGUGUCAGUUGGGCUCAACCAGUAAAACCUUUGGGUGAUGAUGCCCGAAUCCCGCCAACAUUACCGAGUUACUGAUCUUAUUAAAAAUAAGCUUACCACACCAUAUUUUUUUUUUUUUUUCUUUUGCAGAUGUCAGUUGGGCUCAACUGGUAAAACCCCUGGGUGAUGAUACUAGAGGUCUAGGGUUCAAAUCCCUCUAGCAUUACCGAGUUGCUGAUCUCAUUAAAAACAGGCUUACCAAAACUUUUUUUUUUUCCCGAAUGAGUCUGUGGCUCAAUGGUAGCACCCCUCUCACAAAGUGAAGAGGUUGUGAGUUCGAAACACGUCAACAACUGAUUAAUGAUAUAAGUUUCUACACGUAAUUUAAUUUAAAGGGGUAGGGGUCCCAAUAACCCCGCUUACCAAUCAAAAAAAAAUUAUAAUUAUAGAACACGAAAUAACAAAAAUGAUAGAUUAGUUUAGAUUACAUAUAUACAGUAUAUCAAAAAAUAAUCCAUGCAUUGCACGGGUCAAAUGACUUGUAUAUUACAACAACAGAGGACCAAAUAGUUUCAUCAAGUGAAUGUGCACUUCAUAGUUUCAUUGUCCCACUGUAUCCUACACACUGGGAUUUUCUUCGAUGCUCUUUAAGUCCAGAGGCUAACGUAGCCUCUUCAGCCCAGCAAAAGUCCAUACGGCAGGUAACAUAAGUUGUUAUGUUGUAAGCGCAAUGUUCUGAACGCACCAAUGAUUUAUAAAAAAUUAAUAAAUGAAGCAGCCGGGAAGUCCAUAUGUGGAAAAAACUAUAUUAGAAUUUCAAUGCAACUUAUAACAAAGCUAAAACAUAAUGAGGAAAAUCUGUUAAAAUAUAGAUAUAAAUGCAAUGUAUACCACUGAAUUACCUUAAUAGUGUUCUGAGUCUUUCGGUGGAGGUGAUAGACGGCAAAUUAAGGAGGGAAGAAAUAUUUCUAUGUGAGAAGAUAUAAUAAAGGUGAAAUCAUGCUUCCUCAAUUAUGCAUGGUGAUCUGCAGUCUCUCGACCCAUGCCAACCUGAAUCUAUUGAAUGAUAGUGCAUAACUCCAGAUCCAUCACAAACCACUGAAUUUGUUCUGAAGUCUGCACAAAUUGCAACAAAAGAUGGUUUGGUUUAUUGCCAUGUAAAAUAGACACAAAUUCUACUAAAAUGUGUCUAUAGUUGUCUCAUACACGGGGUGCAAGACAGUCUCACACACAAAAAUCUACGCAAUUUGAGUGUUUGCAUUCUCACCCACUUGUUCAAACAAAUAUACAGUGCCCUUACUAUUUUUCCAUUCUAGUACUUUCAAGAUUUCAUGGAUAGAUAGAAAAGGUUGUGGGAGUCCAGCCAGUUAGAAAGCGCUAGGCCUGUCAACUAUCCGAACCGAUCACUUAUUUUUUAGUUUUGGAUAUCCAUUUGGAUUUUUGGAUCACUUGAAAUGGUUUUUGGAUAUCCAUACUCAUUUCGGUUUGGUUCGGAUAAUUCCAAACAAAAGACCGAUCCGAUCCAAAUAGUGUGUGAAAACUGAAAAAGACGUUUGUGAAAACUGAAAGACAUUUUUCUUUCCGAAUUUACCCUUUUUCAAUCUCUCUAUUUACUAUGUUCUUAUAACAACAAUGAAUAACAACAAUGAAUAACAACAAUUUCGAAGAAGAAGAAGAGUUUUAUGAAGAUUCUCUUGAUCGAAUUCUAUCAUCAGCAUCAGCUUCUUCUUCUUCAAUUAAUGUUUCUGAAGAAGAUGAUUCUUAUAAAGAAAACAACAAUUAUAAUAAUUGUAAUAUAAAUUCCCCAAAUUAUAAUUCAGAUAAUCCACCUCAAAUCCCAAUACCUAAAUUCCCAAUUUCAUCUGUUUCUAAUUUCGAUGUUUGGAUUAAUGGUCUUUUAUCAAUUCAAGCAGAAAACGUCUUCUUCAAGAAAUGGGUUUAAGUAAUGAUCCAUUACUUUCUAGAAAUAAUCAUGAUUUUGAUAUUGGUUACUCUCUCUCUCCAAUCUCCAUAAUCAAACUGUCUUACCUAAGGUAUUUGACGAACAGAGCAAAACAAAAUUGUUAGCUGUUUUCUAUUUGGAUUCAUGGAUGUUUACAAGCUAUUUGACUCAUACCCUUAUUUCUAAUUACAUAUGAAGGGUUGAUUUUGAAACAAAUGUUGAAUAAAUCAAAUGCUUCGGCAAUUUACAUGUUUCUCUUACUAAUUUCUCCAAGAAAUCAAUGAAGAAGAAUGAUGAUGUUCUGGGCGAUGGAAGGAUGGUAAUAAAGUGUUGAAGAAGAAAAAGAUGGAAUGAAGAAGAAGAGAAUUGGAUCGGUUCGGAUCGGAUCGGAUAUCCGCUUUUAGAAACGGAUCGGUUUAGUAUCCAAAUAAUAUGAUCCAUUCCUGAAUUGGAUCGGAUCAGUUUGGAUCAUAAUACCUUUGGAUCGGUUUGGAUCAUAGAGAAAACCAAACCGAUCCGAUCCAUUGACAGCCCUAGAGAGCGCAAGGAAUGAAUAUGCACACUAUAAUUGUAGCUGAUAACUGUGUCGAAAGGCCCCAUUCUCAGAACCAGGCUUUGUUGUAUAAUGGUAAAAUCACAGAAACUACCAUAAGCAACUCUUUUCUUUACAAAGUACAAACUCUCUUCAGACAAAGACUUCCAAUUCAAUUUCAUAAAGUAUUCCACAGAAAUGUUGGUUCUAACUUCCAUUUCAGAAGCAUACAUCAGACAAAAGCAAUUUAAGGUGUGACUCCCUGUCUGCUAAAACUUAUGAAGUGUAACUAUAUAGUUAUACGGCGCGAACAAUAUUAAUGCAAAGUUGAUGAGUAAUUAGCUUUUCUAGUAAAGUAAAAUUUUAUUGAUAGUCAAAAGAAAACUUGGAAUCCUGAUCAAGCCUACAUUAAGUGGUAUGACGGCAGUGUUUGUUUCACUGAAUCUGUAAUCCUGGUAAUCGGUCAUACAUUGCUACUCUUUAGAAAGAAAUCUGGAAACCAGAUUCCGGAGUAUAAGAAUUUUAGAGGAGUGUGGUUUUCUUUUCUGACGAACGAGAACCAGAUUCCAAUUUUUUCCCGACAAAUCAGUCAUGUCUCUACCCUACCCAACAUCUCUUUCUCUGUUUGUCUCUAUUUAUCUCUUUUCUGCUCGGGCUCUCUUUCUCCCUAUCUUUCCAUUCCUAUUAUUCCCUUCACUUCCCGGAAUCAAACACACCAUACAAGUAAACUCCAUGUGCUUGAAAGCACACUCCUAAAAUGAUUUUUAGGUGUGUUUCAAGCUACUUUUAAAUCAAUCCAUAUUACAUGUAGCAGCAUGAGUGCAUGAGUGCAUGCAUGUAUCCUAUAUUUUGAAAUCUUACCAAGUAAUUGUUUAGCCAGGAGCGGCUCUUAAGCCUAGCAAAUUAGGCAGCUGCCUAAGGCUCCCAAUCUCUGUGUGGGCCACAUUUAUUUGAUUAUGUAGUUUCUUUCCUAUUUUCGCUCCUAUAUUCUCUCAAAAUUUUUGAUAAAAGGUUAUUUUCCUAAUUUAUAAAUGUUUUUACUGGUAAUUGAAAAGUUUUGUAGGGCCACGUUCAACUGUGUAUUAAUUUUAUUUUGUUUCCAAAUCCCAAUUUUUCAGUAUUAAUUUUUACUAAUUAAAUCAUCUCUACUAUAAAACGAACAUAAAAUUUCUAAACUUAUUAAUGCUAACUAAAGAGGCCUCACUUUUGACUGCCUAAGGCCCCCAAACAUCUUGAGCCGUCCCUGUGUUUAACCAUGCUAAAAGUUUCCAGGAAUUGAAUUUAUUCUGCAUAGCGUGUUCCAAUUGGUAAAUACGUAUAGCAGACAAAGAAUACCCAUAUUUCUUUAUCAUUUUAAGAUAUAAGUAACAAAGAUAUGAGCGAUCACUUAUUUGAUAGAAAACGGAGUGCCCUUCAAUUAAAGCAUUUCGUGCAUCAAUUCAGUUUAUUAUAAAAAAAUAAAAAGAAACUACUACUUACAAAUGAGAGUUCGGUUUCAACGAGGCAAGAGAUGCUUUUGGUCUUUGAGCUUCUGCGGUUGUCCUAACGAUAUGGCAAAGUCGGAUAAGGCAACUGCAUCAUAGCAGGUCUCUCGCUUGCUUAACCAUUCAUCCUUGAGAUGAACAUCAACAUCUCUGUACAGAUGAUAGAACGAUGAUACUCGAUAAGUAUCAAUGCAUGUAAUGAGAAAUAAAGAAUAGUCUAAAAGAGAAUUAUGGGUACAUCUACUUCAAUUCAAAAGUAUUAAUGAAGAGAAAAACAUACUUCUUCAGCCUAAGAACUUCAUAAUUCUUCCGCAGGUAAUCACCAUGUUUAAUAAGAGCUUCUUGCACAUAUUCUUUGCCUACUGUUCUUACUUUGGAAGCACUGAGUAAAUUUUCUAAAGAUCCAUGCUUCUUCAAGAGCUUCAGGGCAGUCUUUCGACCAAAACCAGGAGCAACAUGUUGAAUUCCAGGAACACCAUCUACCUCAUCACCCAGAAUGCAUCCUAGAUGAGAUAAUCAUUAGUCAGAGUAGUCACUGAAAAUUUGUAUCAUGGACCAAUUCCUACCAUCCUAACUUUAGAAAAACAGAUAUUUAGUUCUGGCUGUCUAAAGGUGAAACCAAUAAAACAGAUAUAUGAUGAAGUGUAGUAAAUCUAAAGGGGAUUGUAUCAUUAUAGAAAAGUUAUAUACUUACGAAGACUUAGAUCGGAGCUUGGAUCACACGCGUAUUGAUCUAUGUAGUGUUUCAAAGUAUAAAAUGACCACCGGCCUAAUUCUGGCAUGGGCAUAACAAUUUGCACAUCUUCGGAUAUCAACUGCUUAAAAUCUUUGUCAGGUGAUCCAAUAACUACUUUCAGUCCACUUUGUAGAGCUUGUUCAGCGAGUGUAGCUACAACAUCAUCAGCUUCAUGGCCUUCAAUUUCUACAACCUGCAUGGCUCUAUCAUCUCAACAAUGAAUUGGAAGGAUAAUAGGGAUGCGAAAGAUAGCGUCCUUUAGUGAAACAAAAUCUUGUAACCUUUUCCAAAUAGAUACAUUGAAAUUAUUCUGGAUCGAAGUAAAGAGUUAUGCAGACACAGAGACAAGAUCUCACAAAAACACUUCUAAUGAGUAAGCAUUGCAUAAACAAAUUUGAAUGUUAGCAAUAUCCUCCAUCCAGUGAGAAGAAUAUAAGGCCAUCUUCAAUGCAUCUCUAACAAUCUAUUUUCAAAAAGAACUUAUAAUGCAUCUCAAACAAUGACUUAAAUUUUAAGAAUCUAAUGUGCUUUUAAUAGAAUGAGACUUAUACGUUUAGGGUGUCAAGGAUGUCACUCGCAUCCCCGAAGUCAGUAAUUGUAUCGCCCAGGCCAAUACAGAUCACAGUAAGACUUUCAAGCAAAAGAACUGUGAAGAUGUCAGAAACUUUCAAGCAAAAGAACGUUUUAGGGUUAGUCUUUACAGUUUAAACAUUAGCAAUCAUUCAACUCUAUCUUUUUACCCCUCAAAUUUGAUGUGUUUUUUUUUUCGAUUUGAUGGUUGCAUCGGAGAUGAUAUAAGGUGGAUAGGCCUACAGGAGCAGGUCAGAUAGAGUGACAAAAUGAAAGACAUUGGCAAUCAUCACAGAAUAUUAGUAAGAUGUUAACAAUGAUGCCUAAAGUGUGGAAACUAUCAGCAGCCGCAAAGAAAAUGCAAGGUAAAGUUAGGUUAUCAAGAAAGACAUAAAACUCGCUUUUGGAGAUGCUUUUGAUGCCAACAACUACAUAGAGAGAUCCAUAUACCAAUCCUAUCUUUGAAUAACGUUAGUGUAAACCAUUUCCUUCCAACGACUAAAAGAGGAGGCUGGGGGGAAUCCCAUGCUGAAGUAUGCCUCCCUUGGAUAACUUGAAGUGGAAAAGUUUGGAGUCUAUGAUUUGAGAAGUCGGACCUUUAAGAAGCUUUUCAGUCUCUGUGUCCAGGGGCGGAUCUAAGAGUUAGCUAAAGGGAGCGGUGGUCCAGAGUGCAAUUUAAUAAUUAGUUUACUACUAAUUAAUUUUAUGUGUGAGAGUUCAAACCGCAAACAUGAUUCCUCUUUUUCUUUAUCCUUUCUAUAAAGAAUGAACUAAUAAGUUAUUAACCAGAGACCUAUUUCCUAUGGCAUAAAAAGAAAUGCUCUACCACUACACAGAAACUAAACUGAUUCUAUAUUUACACUUAAAUAAUAUUUGACUGAGAAAAAAACACCCCACCACAACAAUUAGGACCACAUUGUAAAUUUGUAAUUUUGCAAGGUAUAACAUUAUUUAACAAAAAAAACAUAACGUUACUGGGAUGUAGGUUUAUAGGAAAACAUUUUGAAGUAACUAACAAACCGUAUCCUUCCUUUAUACAACACUUAUAAUCAAUAGACAUGUUUACUCAAAAAUUUAUUGAACAUGAGAUUCAUUGGAAAGGUUUGAAUUGUUUAGCAAAUUUUGGCAUCACAUGACCAAAUACAAAAAUAAUAAUACCCACAAUAGACUACAACUGUAUCCCCCACCCAUACAAAAAGAAAUAUAAAUUACACGAUCAAACCAUGUGUGUGUUUAUGUUAACUUGUCCAAAUAUGUCCCAAAAACACUUGACAGGUCCUGAGUCCUUCCCAAUUGCAGAUUGAAGUUAUUGAACAGCUUCAAAGCUUUACGUAGAACUAUUCAAUCCAAUUUAUUUGGCCAUAGAUGAUUUUUGAUUUUGAUUUUGUGUACUAAUGAAUCUUAUAAAGCAAUCUAUGUAUAGUGCUAGUUUGCUCUUAUGACUGUCACAGGUACGACCAAAGAACUAUGCACUUCUCUGACAGCAUUGAUGAAUAUAUAAUAGAGGAAUUCAUUUUGAAUUUAUGUGUCAAGGAAUUGAUAAUCUACUUCCAAUAAUAGGGCUACAUUAAGGAUUGUGCAAAAUCUGGGUAUAGAUAAUUUCGAGUGGUUUUAAUCGAUAAAUAUGCUGAAAAAAGAGUCCUAAAUGGGAAUCUCAAACUAAAGAAAGAUAUUUUCACUCACUGGAACAUUACACUUCUGAAGGAAGUUGGUAACUGUAUGGUGCAAACUUCCCCUUGAAUAUCGAGGUGACGACGGAAACAGCCUUGAGUAUUUCCUCCUGUGAGCUUUAUAUGAAGGUAACAAUCCUCUCCGGUAUUCAUUCCCUCCUUCCCCAUCAAAAACCUGUGAGAAAGAGUAAUACAUGAAAAUUAAGCAAUAAAGAAAUUAUUGACAUUAGAACAAUAGAGCUAUAAGGUGGAAAAAAAAAAAGAAGUCACAAUCUUCUGAAUAUUGCCAUAAUGUUUGUACUUAAUCUUUACAGAUAACAAAAUACUAUUGUAUGUGUACAUGAAUCAACAUCAUCUGUAUCAGAAAAAUAGAGCUACAAGGUGGGACAGUUUAGAUGUUUUUGUACUACUUAUGAACAGUUGGACAUUUGACAUUACAAACAAUCUUGAUACAUGGCUAACGACUUGUAUGUACAUGAAUCAACAUUUGCUGUACCAGCUAGCAGAGCUACUUUGCUAGCUUUCAACUUACCUGUAUUUGUACCCUGAACCUACAUUAAAGACACUUAUUAGUGGAUCACUGGUCACUAUCAGAAAGAUCAAAUUAAGUUAUUCGACAUUAGGAUGAUAUUAUAUUCGAGUAAUUUUCUACACAAUAUUUGUUAAGAAGCCCUCAAUAUCCAACCCCCCCUUCUCAAAAACUGCUUAAUAGAAUGAUGCUCUAAUCAAUACUUUGGUGCAUAGUUUAAUGUUUAGUAUCAUGGGUCCGGAUCGAUUUCAAUCGAAAAACACUACAAUUCACAUAUACAGAACAUGAUUAAAGUUAAACAACUACAUAAAAUGCUGAAAUAAUUAAUGAAGUUGGGAGAUAAUUUAUUAGCUUACUGCAAUGACAGGGUCAGUGUGACUGACUUGAGAGAAGAAGAGUGAAAUCCAAUAAGAGAAAGACCCCAAACUUGGAGUAGUACCAUUGUAACAUAGAGGAUUCACAUCUAAGAAAAACACCCUUUCUGUAUUGGUGUUUUUCUUAUUUCUAGUAGUUAUAUUACCACCAUUGUUAUUGUCCUUGUUUGAAGAUAAUGAAAAUUGCCCACCAAUUGUUUGAUUAAAAGAAGCACAACAACAAGUGGUUGGUGAUGUUUUGGUUCGCCAUGGAACAGAAAGAGAAAAGGAAAGAGAUUGCAUCAAGACUUCUGCCAUGUUUAAACUUUAUCACAUUUGCUUCUGUGAUGAAUGUGUUACUUAUUUAGUAGGAAUUUUGUUUUCUUUGUAACAUGGAUAAGUAAAGUGGUUGUAUUCAGAUAUGGGUGGUCCAACCCAAACCCACAGCCCUGACCACAUUCAGUGCUUUGAGAUUAUAUAUAAUGUCAAAUGGUGGUACUACUAAGGUGUUGUUUGUUUUUCAUUAAGUCGGUCUGAACGACUGAACUUAACAAUGGACCCAUCGUAUCGUCGUAUUCAGUCUUCAGACUGUUUGUUUUUUUGCAAAUGGUUGAGUGCUUAAUCCAUAGAUAAGUGAUACGGUGAUUAAGUGAUUCAGCUAGAAAAUCGGGCAGAAUGAAAGUCUGAAUUACUUAAUCAAGCAAAAAGACUAUUUUAACCUCGAAACCCUUUUUUCUAUUACUCCCUCCCUUCUUCUUCUCUUUUGCGACUGGUUCUCUCUGGUUUUUCUUCUCAGUCCAAGUUGCUCUCUCUCUCUCAUUCUCUGAACUAUUGAUUUUUAGUUUUUUUUUUUGGUAGAAAUUAAACCAUUGAUUUGAUGUUAUAUAUUUCUCUCUCUUACAAGAUUUAGGGCUAAAAUUUUGCUCUCAAGAGAUUAGUUGUUGAAGACAACCUCUUUGUAUCAAAGGUAAGAAAUUUUCUUUUCGUUUCAUUCACAGGUUGUAGUUUUCAUGGUUUGAAAUUCCUCUUUUUUUUUUCAUUUCAGCUCUAAAAAGCCAAGUUUUAGGAUUUUUAGAUACCAUUUAAGCCUAAUUUCAAUGGGUUUCUCUCAUUUCCCGAUUUCACUAUAAAGAAGAAAAAAACCCUUAAAAUAAAAGGGGGGGGGGGGGGGGGGGUGAUUUAUGCCAUGAUAAGAUCCAACAUUCUCUCUUCCUUUACAGAAGAUCUAUAAUUAGGCAGUUGUUUGCUUACCUGAAAAAUGAUGAAAUCAGUGGAAUUGUCUUGUGUGAAAACGAUAGGUGAAGUUGGUUAGUGAUUGAUGAACACGAAUGGUGAUUUAUACUAUGAUAAGAUCCAACAUUCUCUCUUCCUUUACAGGUUCACCAUUCGGCAUCCAUCUCCCACGUAAUUUAGUAUUCCAAUAAAAUAAAUAAAUAAAAGCCCGGGUGUGAGCUACAAUCUUUAAGAAAAAGAAAAAUAAAAUACAAAAAAAUAGGAAUACGGUGCCAGCAAGAUGAGGUCAGGGCUGAACAGCAGAAAUUAAAUCAACAGCCACCUAAAAUUGUUGUAAUCUGAAAUUUAGAACAUUCGUGCGCAUGGAAAUAUGGAAUGUGUAUUCUCAAUCAGAUUAGCCCACGUCAAGAACUUAUUUAUCACCACCACAAGCUGCCUGAAAUAUGUUUUCAAAAGCUUCUUUCAUGCAUGAGUACAAAAGUUGGGAAUCAAUAAAAUUCUUUUCCAUUGUUGCGGUUAACCUUAGUUGUCCCAUCCACGACGCUGUAGUAAAAGUAAGACUCUGCAUCCAUAAAGAUAAUGAAGAUGAUCUUAGACACAGUUGUUGCAUAUCAUUUAUUAAUUUGCACUUGAAAACAAAACAAAUCAAUUGCACUUGAGCUGACAUAUAUUUCAAAUGUCCAUUUCUGAAACACAUAGUUUCUGCGUAUCAUGCAUCCGAAAUCUUGACCCUUCGUGCUGAAGUUUGUGUUUUACCUGGGGUAUGUCUGCCACGAUAAAGAAACAAGAAUCGACUGCAUGACCUGCCACAACCAUCUUCUCAUUUGGACCAAUUAAAUUUGAGAUCAUAGUGAUUGUAUUCCUAAAAUUUGUAUUCCAAAGCCAAUUCCUCAAUGGGUUUCUCUCAUUUGCAUCAUCAGUUGGUAAUGGUAAUGCUGGUAUUAGCAACAACAACAACAACGUCAUCUCCCUUUUGAUAUAAUUCUCGAUAUUUUUACGGGACUUCCUGCUCACCUCAUUGUUUCCUGUGCCCAUUCCUCAAAAUUGUUUCACCCCUUUUCCACAACUCCAUCUUUUGUCAACCUGCACCUCCAACGAGCUACUCCAACCAUUGCUCUUCAGUAUGUGUCUCGUUUUGCCAACUAUCACAUAAGGCGGCUGCAACCCAACAAUGUUCAUAUCAAUAUUUUUCAUGCAAAUAAGACUACAACUGCUCCGCCUGCUGCCAGCGAGCAACAACAACAACACGUUAGUUUUAGUUGUCUCGAUCUCUCCCCCCAUAACAAAUAUUGUUAUCCUUUACUAGCUUGUUGGAUCUUAUCAUGGCUUUCUUCUAUUUGUGAAUGCAGUUCCCGUUUUAAAUCCAAAAGUAUUAAGAUCGAAUAAAACAAACACUUAUUGAUGUAGUAGUUUUAGAAUAUAUAUAUUUUAAGACUUUCAAAGCUACUGCAUGAAAGUGUUUGUUUUAUUUGAUUUUAAUACUUUAGGAUUUAAAAUGAUCAAGACAAAUGCAUAGGAUGCCCAACCGCAACCAUGGUAUGAGUUUAGUUAGGGGAAGAUAGUAAUUGUUCUGACAAUAUUCUUGUUCAUGUAUCUUCGGAUGAGUAUUUCGAUCAAAGGAUCAUGGAAUACUUCAUCAAAUUAAUUAAGAAGAAACAUGGAAUUAUGGAAAGGACAUUAGCAAGGACAAUAGGCUAGGACUCUUGGGAAGCUAAGAAGAGAAUGUGAACGUGUCAAGAGAGCCUUGAGCAACCAGCACCAGAUCUGUGUAGAGAUUGAGAUUGAGUCUUUAUAUAUGAUGGAUAUUUGACCUUACCGCAAUCUCUCCAGCACCAAGGUUCGCACUUAUCUUCCAUCUGUUCAACAUUUUUCAUAAUUUUCAUCACUAUAUUCACUAAGAAACUCGACUGGAAAUAAACCAUUUGAUUGAACAGAGGAACCCCUCAGAUUGAAAUGAUUACCUUUGAGGUUGAUGCCAAUAGUAUCCUGAAUGUCAAAGCUGAAGACAAAGCCAGUGGCGGUAACUCAGAGAGAAGGGUUGUUAGUUUGAGCCAGGAAGAAAUUGAGUGAAUGGUUCGGGAGGCUGAAGAGUUUGCAGAAGUGAACUUGUACUCAAAUUAGAGCAAUCAUUAUCAAUUAUACUGUCGACCUAAGUGCAAUUUUAUGAGAGUAAUCUUUGAUGGUUCACAAGUGAACUUGUACCCAAAUUAGAUUGUUCGAGCAUUAUAACUUCAUUUUAUUUUUUCUCAUUCAAUGCAUGUUUUAGAAGAGAGGGUAGCUUUGCACUUUGCAGUAGAAUGUGUUAUGACCUAUUCAUAUGAAAUGAUGUUUAAAGUCAAUUGUUUAAUGGAAUGAAAGGAAAAAUAGGAAGGUUAUUCUGUCAAUUUGCAAAUUUAUAUUAGGGCAAUUUUUUUUUUUUUUUUUUAUUUGAAUCAUAAUUCAGUGGCAGCUUAUAAUGAGAGACCAACUGAGAGAGAGAUGAAUGAAAAUCUAUUAGUAAAUGGGGGUAUAAUAAUCAUUCAGUACCUAAUGUAGAGACGGUUCUAUUCAUUCAGAACUUAAUUAAGUCAGGUAUUUAAGUGUGGUAUUAAGUUGCCAUUAAGUGUAUUGAGUGCUUAACUAGUAUUCAGUCAUUCAGUGUUUGAUUUAGAAAAAAAAAAAACGACACCUUUGUAUCCUGUCAUUGAUCCUCCUGAUCUUCUAGUGCUAAUGUGCCUAUAUGACAUGAUUGCGGCUUGCAAUGAGAGAACCGGUACUGUCAUUAUUUAGUUGUUUAGAAAGUUGAUAAAAAUUAGCAUUAUAAAUGCAUGAUCAGCGUCCGAUAAUGAGGACUGUUGGGUCGAUAAAACUACCAGACACAGAAACAAAGUUUACAAUCUGCUGAACAAACAAUGACCUACUCCAAGUUUGCUGUUUCCCUGUCUUCAGCUCCAGGAUCUUAUAUGCCAUCAAAUCACAGCAAUCCAUCAACUUUAAUAAAAGAAUGGAGCUGCUGCAAAAAAAUAUAUAUGUGACAUGUCCAAUGAACAAAGUCUUGUCAACACAUAAUUUAAUCAAACACUGGAUUGAAAUAGCUGAGAAAAACCUUGAACCUGCUUCUUCGUUCCUGACAUAUUGUAAUUGCCUGUAUGUUUAGAUGCAUGCUUAAUGCUACAGGUUUUAUGGUUUUGUUUGUGGGCUUGGGUUAAUACCUCACGUGGGCUUGGGUAGGUUAGGUGGCAGCAAUACUGUUUGAAUUAAAACCAAACAAGUUUAGUUUGUUCACACUUCGCACAGUGAUUUUAACCGACUUAACUUUCAAAGAAAAAAGAAACCGACUUGCUGCUCGAUCCGUAUAGUAAAGAGAGAGAAAUAACUUUGUGUGUUCACACUAUAUAACAAUGGUGGAAGAGGGAAACAGAUCUGUGUAAGGUGCAGAUCAAAUAAAAAUUUAUAAAAAGAGAGAUAAUUAUAAGAAAGCUAUUAGGAAACUUGGAAUUCUAUGCUUGGGACAUGUAGCUUGUCAUCUUCUUUUUAGUAGACGAUUAUCAUAGCUAUUUUCUUCGCGAAAGAUAAGGUAAGUUAUAAGAUUUCAUGUCUUUUCUUGAUUUUAGGAGAUAGAUGAGGUUAGGGUGUGUAAUAACAUGUUAUUUUACUUUAUAAUCUAUACCAUGUUUAGGGAUUGAAUUAGUUUGAUUAUAAACUCAUGUUUACGUUGCUUAUAAACAACGAAUGAUUAUUGAAAUUUUGAUAAGAAGCAUGAUAGCGUGUUUAUUUUAUUCGUAUGACAUGGUAUUGAUUGUUGGUGAUAUUAUUUAUGUAUAUUUUCAUGCUAAAGGUGAGACUGCAUAUUCUGAAACUAGUUAUAAGGCCCGUGCAAUACACGGAUAUUAUUAAAUAGUGUAAAUUAGGUGUAGUCUCUUGGAAAUGUUUUGUUAAUGUAUGUCAUUUGUUUAAUUGUCAUUUUUACAGUUUUAUUACAACACUAAUUUUUAUUUUUAUUUUCGUAAAUACGGUUGAUUACAAUUUUUGAAAUGGUUUCUCGUCAAAUACUCGUUGUUUGAAUGUUUGACUGAGAUUUUGAGUUAAAUAUAAUAUAUAACAAUUAUUGAAUUUUUCAUUAUGUUUUUACUUCAUUGUGGUAUGAUUAAUCUUAUGAAUGUUCAAACCAUGAAUUAGACUGAUCAUAUGAUUUUAUUCAUUUUUUCUUUGGAGUCUAAGCUUAUGUUUUGAAUAUAAAAAGGGGUUUGGCAAGAACAUAGUAUAUAGUAACUUGCAGUCGUAAAAUAACUUUUCAUAACUAAUGCACCCAACAAAACUACUGAAACAUCAAGUUGAAGCAUAGGAUAAAAUUUUGGAUUGGAAAAUAUAUGUGCUUAUUAAAGUUUAUUAUAGUAGGUAACGUACAUUUCUUUUUCUUAUUAUUAUUAUUGGUAAGCGAGGUUUAGGGGCCCUACCCCUUUUAAAUUUACGUGGGGAAACUUAUAAUCAAACAAUCAGCUACCAGCUACUGACGUGUUUCGAACCUACAACAUCUCCACUUUGUGAGAGGGAUGCUACCUUUGAGCCACAUGCUUAUCAACAAAUCUAUGUAUAGAUUUGCUAUAAUAAGUAUUUCAUCUACAUAAAUUUUUACUUGGUAUAAAGAGGCAUGUAGUAAGAUACAAUGAAAGCCUACUUGUUGGCUAAUAAAUUUUUUUUGUAGGACUUCGGUUUUUAGUUUUAGUAAAAUAAAAAUUGUGGGACUUAUAUAUAAAUUAUAUCUUCUGAUUCUCCCAGUCCCUACUUUCACGACAAAAAUCAGGAAAAAACCUCAAAAUUUAUAUUUAGGUGUAUCCCUAAUGUUUCGUAAUCAGCAAAGAAAAGACUUGCAGCACAGUUUGUAGCGCGUUUGUCCUCUACUUUUGUGUAAUUUUUUGAGCUUAUCAAUAAAAUAGUUUUUCUUUAACAAAAAAAAAAAUAUUAAUAAAAUUUAUUUUGAAAAAAAAAAAUCACUUCAUUGUCAAGUUAUUGGGUUGAGCUUUGGUUAUGUCUAGACUAUACAUCAUUUCAGAAAACACUAUUGAAUUUAUAUCCUGAGGUAACCUUUGGCCGAAGGUAGGGCUAGAAGUGGAUGUAGAUUUAUCUGAAUUAACCGAAUCUGAAUAUGUCGGAUUCAAAUAUAAGAAUAGACCCGAAUUAAAAUUCGGAUUCAGAUUUAUAAUAAGAGACCUAUUCAGAUCCGGAUUCAGAUGUUAAUCUGUUUUUUAAAAAUUUUAUAUUGGAAAAUUUUGGAUUUAGUCGGGUUUUUGGAUAAAUCUCAGAUUCAGAUUAAUUAUUUAAACCUGACGAAUUCGGAUCCAGCUUCCAAUUUAUUUACAUCCGAUCCGAAUCCGACCCGUUUCCAGUCUUAGCCGAAGGCCAGUUUUUCAAAUAAUUUUUGAGUAUAAUUGAUAAAUAAGAUUAAACUAAUCUAAAAAAUCACGCUAUAAUUACGCAACAUAAUCAUGUUAUAUGGUUAUAAUCCUAUAUAAUUUUAUUUCUAACAUGUACUAAAAAGAAAAUGGAAGACGCAUAGUAUUAGAAUUUGUACUAUUGCGUGCAUAUAUUCGUGUAGUCUAUUGUAAUGAUCGUUGUGUGUGUGCUUCUUUUUUUCCAACCAUUAUUUGGAGAAGGAAUAGAGGACAGAUUGAAUUUGAUGUAUGUGGAACAUGGAUAAAUAUUGAGGAAAGAAGAAGAUAAAGUACAUAUAUAUAUUUUAUUUUUUGGUUAAUAAGAUAAAUAUAGCUAUAUUGCCAUUAAAUUCAUUGGUUAGCCAUUAAUAUAUUUGUGAAAAAGACAGAUAUGCCCAUAGUGCUAUUAAAUGUAGCCAUCUAGCUAUUUAAGCCAUAUUAGAUAUAAAUUUACAAUAAUAACCCUUUAAAUUUCAAUCUUUGUUAAAUUCUCUUCAGUUGAAGCAUCAAAUUUGAUCUAAUUUGGAAAGAGAAAUUUUUCUUAAGGGCAAGUCCAACUUUAAUAGAGAGUAUAGAUUAUACGUAUUAUUAUUAGUUAAUUUGAAUUGAAUAGAUGGAUUGAAUGAUGUUGAAAAGGGCUUUUGAGCCGAAGAUUGCUUUGAACAGUCUGAAUUGAGGAGACGUCCCUGGAGUGUACUGAGAGUACUGCUCGGUGUCGCGUACUGAAGUACACUCAGUGGUGUUAUGUCACCAACUUUAAGAGCCUGCGGAGAGUAUUGUUCGGUGUCGCAUACAGAUGCAUGGCUGAAAUACUGCGGUACCAAAUGAAUUGAUACAGAUGAAUUGGCUAUUUGCCAUGUGUGAUGAUUUGCUUGUUUAUAUAAUUGGUUAUUGAUGUGAGUUAUUUGAAUUGAUCUAAUGAUUAUAAUUGAUACAUAUAUUAUUGUUAUAUUAUUGGGUGCGUUGAUUCCGUCUAUGGGAUCAAGAUCAGAUAUCAAGUUUUGUAACUUGCUAGCAUUUAAUCGCUCGUUUUUCCCCGCCUUUCAAGAAGCAAGUAAGGCGAUACUCGGAGCGUGCGAAGAGGAUAUAGUUGGUGAUAGUUAGAUAGGUAAAGGUGCUCUAAGUUUGUAGUUGGUCUUUUGUUAUCAGAUGUAGCCCUUGGGGCAGGCAUAUUCUUCAUCCUUUUGGUUGUUUGAAUUCUUGUAUAUAUGUUUAUACAGAGUUUGGUUUGAAAUAUAUCUUUCGUUGUUGGUUUGUUCAUAUUUCAUUCGAAUUAUAUUUUCUUUCUUGUCCUUACAUGGAUAUUGGAUUUAGAUCUUGGGUGUCAUGUGGCAGUAGUGUGAACCUACGGUCCAUGGUGGACAUAUGGAGAACAUUACGACUCUGGCGUCUGGUCUUGGCCUAAUCAACUAGGAUCGGAUUUCAGGGGCGUCAUAGUUGGUAUCAGAGCUUAGAGUUCAUUUGUCGAAGUGGAAUAUUCUUAGAGUCUGUAGGAGUUAAAACACCAUAGGAGUAUGUUCGUACGUUAGUAUAGAUUGAGUGAGGACGUUACGUUUCGUUCCAUUUCAUUUGGUAUUCAGUUAUUUAUUCCUUGAUUGUUUAUCAUAUUUCAUGCUUGUGUUACUACACUGACUAAUGGCGGGACAAGAGGGACAUGAAAGGGAUGAGACUGAUGCAAGUGGGACUGGAGUUGCGAUUCCAGCUUGGAUGCAGACUAUGAUGACUUCACUUACUAAUCUUAUAGCAGAGUUAGUAGUUUUGAGGAACAUCGGUGUGAAUCCUUCACUACCACCACAGGGCAAUGCGACACAUCAGCCACGGGUACCGGUAGGUGAACAAGAUAUGACAGAAGAAGAAUUAGAGACAGGUCGAUUAGAGUGAUGGUUGCGGGUGAUUGAGAAAUUUCAGAAACACAAACCACCUACUUUUGACGGCAAAGGUAAUCAUUUGAUGGUAGGUGAAUGGAAAGCAGAGGUGAAGAACGUAUUGCGAAUUAUGAAGGUGAACCCAGUACAACAACAACUCUUGGUAGCCCUACAGCGUAAGAGUGGUGCCAGGAUGUGGUGGAACAGUAUAGUGUCUGAAGAAGAUGAAGAUACAAUGGAAUGGUCAGAUUUUGAGCGGCUUUUUGAUAAACAGUAUAUCUCUCGGACAGCGAAGACCAUUAUAGAAAAUGAGUUACUGACUAUUCAGCAAGGUGAAGACACUGUUACAGAGUAUGAGCACAGAUUCAUUCAUCUUGCCAGGUUUUGCACAAAUCUGACGUUUUUUUAGUGGCGUUUGGCUCGACAGUUUGAGGAUGGUUUGGGGACAAAUUUGAGGCGAGCAGUGCAAAAUCAGCAAUAUCCUACAGUUAAGCAGGUUGUAGAGUCAACUAUGAUUACUGAGGCAGAUAUUAUCCAUACUCGAGAGCUAAAUGAAGCUAGUGGUAAAGGGGGGGAUGGUGGUAAGUCUCAUAAGCGCCAUCAGCUCUUCGAUGGGCAUAAAAAUGGUAAUGAGAAAAAAAAAUUAAAUCAGACAGUUCAGGUAGCAGUUAAAGUAUGCUCCGCUUUUUAAUUUCUCACAGUCGGCCAUCUUAUGUCCCGGUCUCUUACAAGCAUUGCAAGUCACUGUAGGCCUCGAACUGCUACCUGAACUGUUUGAUUUAAAUUUUUACCAUUACCAUUCUUCUGCCCAUCGGAUGGCUGAUGGCGCUUAUGAGACUUGCCACAAUCGCCCCUUUUACCACUAGCUUCCUUCAGCUCUCGAGUAUGGAUAAUAUCUGCCUCAGUAAACAUAGUUGACUCUGCAACCUACCUAACUGUAGGAUAUUGUUGAUUCUGCACUGCUCGCCUCAAAUUGGUUCUCAAACAAUCCUCAAACUGUCAAGACAAACACCAUUCAGAAAACCUUAGAUCUGUACAAAACCUGGCAAGACGAAUAAAAUUGUGCUCAACUCUGUAACAAUGUCUUCACCCUCCUGAAUAGUCAGUAACUCCUUUUCUGUAAUCCUCUUCGCUGUCCGAGAGAUGUACUGCUUAUCAAAAAGCCGUUAAAAUCUGACCAUUUCAUUGUAUCUUCAUCUUCUUUAAACACUAUAUUGUUCCACCACAUCGUGGCACCACCCUUAAGCUGUGAGGCUGCCAAGAGUUGUUGUUGUACUGGGUUCACCUUCAUAAUUCGCAAUACGUUCUUCACCUCUGCUUUCCAUUCACCUGCCACCAAAUGAUUACCUUUGCCGUCAAAAGUAGGUGGUUUGUGUUUCUGAAAUUUCUCAAUCACCCGCAACCAUCACUCUAAUCGUUCUGUCUCUAAUUCUUCUAUCAUAUCUUGUUCACAUGUCGAUACCCCUGGUUGAUCUGUCGCAUUACGCUGUACUGGUGGUGGAGGAUUCGCACCCAUGUUUCUCAAAGCUAGUAACUCUGUUGUAAGAUUAGUAAGUGAAUUCAACAUAGUCUGCAUCCAAGCAGGAAUUGCAACUCCAGUCCCACUCAUAUCAGUUUCAUGUCCCUCUUGUCCUGCCAUUAGUCACUAUAGCAACACAAGCAAGAGACAUAAAAAACAAUCCAGGAAUAGAGAACUGAAUACCAAAUGAAACAGAACGUAACGUAACGUCCUCACUCAAUCUAUACUAAUGUACGAGUAUACUUUUAUGGUGUUCUUACUCCUACAUACUCUAGGAAUAUCCCACUAGGACAAAUGAACUCUAAGCUUUGAUACCAACUAUGAUGCCCCCGAAAGCCAAUCCUAGUUGAUAUGGCUAAGACCAGACUCCAUGGUCGUAAUGUUCUCCAUACGUCCACCAUGGACCGUGGGUUCCCACUACUGUCACGUGACAUCCAAACUCUAAAUCUAAUAGCCAUGUAAGGACAAGAAAAUAAUAAAACACGAAUCAACCAACAGUGGAAGAUUUAUUCAAACCAAACUCUGUAUAUGCAUAUAUACAAGAAUUCGAACAACCAAAAGAAUAAAGAGUAUAUGCCUGCCCCAAGGGCUAUAUUUGAUAACAAAAGACAUCUUUACCUAUCUAACUAUCACCAACUAUAUCCUCUUUGCACGCUCCGAGUAUCGCCUUACAUGUUUCUUGGAAGGAGGGGAAAAAAGAGCGAUUAAUUGUUAGCAAGUUACAAAACUUAAUAUCCAAUCUUGAUCCCAGGGACGGAAUCAGCGCACUCAAUAGUAUAUCAAUAAUAUAUGUAUCAGUUAUAAUUAUUAGAUCAAUUCAAGCCACUUGAAUCAAUGAACAAUUAUAUAAACAAGCCAAUCAUCACACAUGGCAAAAUAGCCAAUCCAUCUGUAUCAAAUCAUCUGGUACUGAAGUACCCCAGCCAUGCAUCUGUAUGCGACACCAAGCAAUACUCUCCGCAGGCUCAUAAGGUUGGUGACAUAACACCACUGAAUGUACUUUAGUAUGCGACACCGAGCAAUACUCUCAGUACACUCCAGGGAUGUCUCCCUAGAGUAUGUGGCAUUAUCUGAUUGGAUAGGAAAUCUGAUUUUUUUUUGUUCGAAUGCGAUCUGGCCAAUCCGAUAUGAACAAGUGUUUAAUAAAUUUUAAUUUCAGCUAUUUUCUUUGCGCUAAAAUAUAUCUGUUGGCGACCACUACGAACAAAAGCAAAAUAAAUAAAUAAAUAUGAUUCAAUAGUUCUGGGCUAGGUAUGAUUUAAUGGUUCUUGGGCUAGACUUUUUUUUAUCUAAGAGGCCUAUUUAAUUCAGACACCCACAAGCACUGUGCGUGCACAUUCACACAGUGUUAGUAAGGUAGUAUGCUAAUUGCUUAGCUACCAAGUAUCCAAACCGACUUAAUUUAGUAAUAUAUGAACUGACCUGUUUGCUUUAUAUAAAAUAGAAAUGAAAGAGAAAAAAAUAUAAUCUGUUUGAGGUGUGUUCACACUACAACAUAAAGUUGCAGAAAAAUUUAUAAGAAGAAGAAGAAAAUUUCAUUAACUUAAAGCUUUAAUGCUUGGGAGCUUUAAUUUGUGAGUGCGUCUUUAGUAGCUCAUUGUUGUGUUGGUUUUCUUCGUGAAAGCGAGGUAUGUUAUGAGAUUUGAUAUCUUCUCUCGAUUGUAAGAGAUGGAUGAAGUUAGAGUAUGUAAGAACAUGGUAUUUUACAUUAUAGUUCAUGGUUUCAUGCCAUGUUUAGUGAUUGAUUUAGUUUGAUUAUAAACUCAUGUUUGCAAUGUUUAUAUAUGAGUGAUUAUUGAAAUUUUGAUAGGAAGCAUGAUAGUGUGUUUAUUUGAUUUAUAUAAUGUGAUAUGAAUUGUCGUAAAUCCUAAUUGAUGUUACAAUGACAAUGAAUUAUUAGAUUAUUGGUGAUAUUAUUCAUGUAUAUUUUCUUGCUAAAGGUGAGAUUGCAUAUUGUGAAAUUUAUGCGUAUUGAUAGUUAAGAUGCAUUUGAUUUGAAUGGAUGGAUUGAUUUGUGUUGAAAAGGGGCUUUUGAGCUAGAGGCUGUUUUAAACAGUCUAAAUUGGGGAGACGUCCCUGGAGUGUACUGAGAGUAUUGCUCGGUGUCGCAUACUUAAGUACAUUCAGUGGUGUUAUGUCACCGACCUUAUGAGCCUGCGGAGAGUAUUGCUUGGUGUCGCAUACAGAUGCAUGGCUGGGGUACUUCAGUACCAGAUGAUUUGAUACAGAUGGAUUGGCUAUUUUGCCAUGUGUGAUUGGCUUGUUUAUAUAAUUAUUUAUUGAUUCAAGUGGCUUGAAUUGAUCUAAUAAUUAUAACUGAUACAUAUAUUAUUGAUAUACUAUUGAGUGCGUUGAUUCCGUCCCUGGGAUCAAGAUUGGAUAUUAAGUUUUGUAACUUGCUAACAAUUAAUCGCUCUUUUUUCUCCUCUUUUCAAGAAACAUGUAAGGCGAUACUCGGAGCGUGCGAAGAUGAUACAGUUGGUGAUAGUUAGAUACGUAAAGGUGUUCUAAGUUUGUAGUUGGUCUUUUGUUAUCAGAUUUAGCCCUUGGGGUAGGCAUACACUCUUUAUCCUUUUGGUUGUUUGAAUUCUUGUUUAUAUGUAUAUAAAGAGUUUGGUUUGAAAUAAAUCUUCCACUGUUGGUUUGUUUGUAUUUUAUUCGUGUUAUUUUUUCUUUCUUGUCUUUACAUGGAUAUUGGAUUUAGAGCUUGGGUGUCACGUGGCAGUAGUGUGAACCUAUGGUCCAUAAUGGACAUAUGGAGAAUAUUAUGACUCUGACGUCUGGUCUUGGCCUGAUCAACUAGGAUCGGAUUUCAGGGGUGUCACAUAUACCGUAGCCAUAUAUACUUCUCCGAACACUGGAUCUGCCCAACUAGGCUUACCACUGGUGUUUGACCAAAUCUUCCUAGUUUGCCAAUAGUUUAACUGUCCUGUGAUGAUACUUGGGAAUUUAACAGUUCUUUUCCUUGUCCUACAAGGAAAAGAAAAGGGAAAGGUUACAAAAGAAAAGAAAACUUUACAAGUAGAGAAAGGAAGAGAAGAAAGGAGAAGGCUUGAGAGAGAGAGGGGGAAGGCUUGCUUCUGAGCGUUGAAGGCUCGAUUGUUGAAGCUUGCUUUCUUUCAAUGCAAAUGCCUCCUUUUAUAGGCAAGUUGGAUAAGUGAGAAGUGGGCCCCAUUGGGCAUCUUGCUAAUGGGUGGGCCCCAUUGAGCAUGGUGAGUGGGCUCCAUUAAAGCAUCUUGAUAAUGUGUGGGCCCCCGUAGGCAUCUUCUUAGUGGAUGGUGGACCCCAUUUGGUGGAUUGUGGACCCCAUUUGGCAUCUUGUGAUAAUGUGUGGGCCCCAGUAGGCAUCUUCUUAGUGGAUGGUGGAUUGUGGACCCCAGUUGUAAGUGGGUAGGCCUUAGUGAAUAAUAGGCCCAUUGUUGUCGGUAGAAUAACCUGUUGUCUCUUUGGUGUUGUAGACCCAUUGCUGGCUGAUUAACCUGUGAUGUGGACUCUAUAAUUGGAGUCUGAUAAUUGCUAGUGGUGGACCCCAUUGAGCACUUUGUCUGUGGGUCCCAUUGGGAACAUUAAUUGAUGUGGUCCCUGUUGAAUAGUAGGGAGCAUUGUUUCUGGAAGAUUCGUCUGUCGGUAAUUCCCGUGGGUGUUGUAGACCCUUUAGUCUGCUGAAUAUCCGGAUAAUUGGAUUUCAUCUUUCGUGUCGGAGUCUAAUAAUACUCUUUCUUAAUUAAAGAGAUGGUAAUACUAAAUUCUGGAAAUUUUGGUUUAAUUGUGAGUCCUUUGCCAUAACUCUCCAUGAAAAAGGUGGGUUAUAGUCUGUCAAUUCUAUUUGACCAUCUGAAUUUAAUCUGAAAUGGUAAUUUAAAAUUGUUAUGUCGGUGGCCACAUAAUUCAUGCUUGGGUUAAAUUUAAACCACCAGUUAAAGAACCAGGUAGGUAUAGUACUGUUAAAUUCGGGGGAAAAAGAAAAUUUCCAGAAAUAUUCUAGUUGGGGAUUCUUAUGAAAGAAUGUAUAUGUCCAUGCGUCCAUAUAGUCCCAAUGAUUGAAAGUCCGAAGAUUGUUGAAAUGAGGAAAAGGACCUAUAAGAGGCUUGGUAAUAAAAGGUUCACCCCAUUCGGGAGGUUCUAUUAUUUUAUGAAUGAGAGCAUUACGAUAAGGUUUAGAAAAUUGGUUAUUAACCUUAGAAAAAGAGACUGAAUUGGUCAUAAUUAAAAUGGAUUCGUAGAAAUUUCUACGUUCAAGAAUUUGGGAGGGACUAUUAGUCUCUGGGUCAAAAUUUGUGAGACCUUGAUAGAUAGGUGAGUAUAACCACAUCAUAUCGUUAUUAGUUAAAUCAAAAAUUAAUUCAUUGGAAUUCUUCAGAUAUGAUCUGGUAUUAUUAUCUUCUAUAAAAGACUUACUGAUAUUUUGUUUCCUUUCUUUUAAGGCAGGAGAUAAUUCUUCCCAUUUGGGAGGAGAGAAAGAUAUUUCUCGUUUUCUCUUAAUAGAAUCCGAAUUAGGAUUAUUUUCUUGACCAGGAGUAGCCAUUCUUGCAAAAUUAAUUGGAGCAAGUGUCGUUUUUAUUAAAACGAAAGAAUCAUUCUGACAAAUUAGUCAUUAUAAAUCAAUCCUCUUAUUAGGAUGGAACAAAACUUGUCUCAUUAGAGAUUUAUAAAUCCUUUAAUUAGAAUAAAAUCAAUCUUGUCUUAUUGGAGAUUAACAAUAAAUCCUUUAAUUAGGAUAAUCUAAUCCUUAAAUUAGGAUAGAAAUUUAUCGUUUAUCUUGUCUCAUUGGAGAUUAACAAUAAAUCCUUUAAUUAGGAUAAUCUAAUCCUUAAAUUAGGAUAGAAAUUUAUCGUCUUACUAGACGUAGAUCAAUCCUUUAAUUAGGAUGGAGAUAAUUAUGUAUUGUCUUACUAGAUAUAAAUCAAUCCUUUAAUUAGGAGAUUCCCUGUUACAAAGAAAAUUAUGGUUAGAUAAGAGGAAUAUUAAUUUCGGAACUAUAUUGUUCCUCAAAUAUUUCAAAAACUCUUUUUUCUUUAAAUUGAUUGUUAUAAUCCUUAUCGGGUUUUAUGAUAAAUUCAAAAAUAACUCUUUUCCCCAUAAGGAUAGUAUGAAUUCCUUCAUCAUCAAUUCUUUCGAUGGGCCAGAUAAGGCUUAAAAAUGGUUUUCCUAAAAUUACCAUUUGAGAUAAAGUGUUAGAUAGAACAAAAUAGGUUUUUAUACGAAUAGUAUUGUUACAUAUUAAAACAUUUGAUAGUUUAUUAUUUAUCUCCAUAGGAGAACUGUUUGCAGUAUUCAAGGCAUAAUGGACCUUUUCAAAAUAUUUAGAAGGUACUAGAUCUUGCCUUAUACAAUUUAGGUCCGAUCCGCUAUCUAUUAGGGCAAUAGUUUCUAAAACAAAAUCCUGAAUAAUGAGUUUGAUAUUAACAUACCAUUUUUGAUUAAUAUUAUUAUCUAAUGAUAAUAAUACUUUAUUUUCAUCCGUUUUGAUGACAGGAAUAGGAAGAGUAUCUUUCUUCUCCAAACGGGAAAUUCUCCAUUUUAGAUUAUUAAUUUCGGUUUUGAAAUUGUCUAUUUCCUUUCUAAAUUCAGAAAUAGGAACUUCUUUAAUCAAAGGUUUUGAUUCUAUUCUGUCGAAAACCUUUUGUAAAGAAUAAGGCUCCAUAAUACUGGAAUUUAACCUAUUAUUAUAAGAGUCUUUUAUAUAUUUUUCAAUAGCCUGUCUUUUCUCAGUAGGAUCGACAAUAUUGUCAAUCAUAUCAAGAAUUAACGUUUGGCUUUCAGACAAAACAUUUAUACUAAGGCCAUUCAUAUCAAUAAUAGCUUUGUAAUAGUCUUGGGAAGUCUUGCAAUGUGCAGAACAUCCUUUCUCAGACUGAUUACUAUUGUCGGACUCACUAUUAGUGAGUUCCUCAACUUCCAUGAUUUGGUCAGAAGAAUCAUCCGAAUAGUAACUAGAAGUUUCAUUAGUAUCCAAAAUUUGGUUAAUUUGUUUUUUGAUACUGUCAUCAAUGCCUAAUUCGUUGAUUUGUUUACGAAUAUCGGUUUUAGAAUAACACCGAUUAGCAUAAUGACCUUUUUUACCACAUGUAUGGCAAGUAAUAUUUUUAAAAUUCCCUUUAUUAUCUUUAGGGUUAAAAUUAGAUUUUUGUUUAGGCAAGACCUGGUCAGGUCUUUUAUAAGGUUUUCUUCUGAAAUAUUUCUUAGGAAAUCUUUUCUUUGAUAAAUCAGUUUUAUCAUUCUGUUUAGGUAUAUCAUACCCAAAUUGUUCACAAAAUUGACCUAAUUCUUUUUUCCCAGUUAAAUUUUGUUUCUUAAGUUGAUUCUUAAGCCGAAUAUUUUUACCAUCAGUAGUAGUCCAAUUGUUAUAAAAUUCUUUGAUAACACAUGAUUCUAACGUCCUAUCCCAUCUCAGCACAUAAUGCGCGAAUGGAAUAAUGCUCUUAGUAUCAUUUAAAUAAUUGUAAUAAUUUUCUUUCAAAAUUUCAUGUUGUUCAUCAUUAUACUGGUCAUUAUACCAUUUUCGAAAAGCAUCAUAUUGAGGACCUUUCCAUUCAUUAUGGAUGGCUACCCGAUCAAUUUUAAAUUCAUUGACUAAUUCUAUUAUAUUAAUAGAAAAAUUCAUCUCCGAAGGGGUAGGAUUAAGGGCAGAAAUCCUAUUAUAAAGACCAUGCGGAAUAGCAUUGUUAGAUUCUUUUAUUCCUUUAAUUUCAAAUUCAUCAUCUAAUUCAGAUUUUAUUUUAUCAGGAAUACUGGAAGUAGAAGCUCUAGAUGGUUCCUGAUAAUAGAAAUUUUUAACAGAUUUAAGCCUGGAUAUCCUGUUAGAGGAAAACCUUAUUUCAAUAUCACCUUCGGGGUUCUGGAUGAUUUGAUCUAAGUUUCUAUUAACAGGUUGGGCAGGGAUGAUUCCCUGGUGAUCCCAGUUCUCAGGAUAACUAAUCUGAUCCCAAGGAAUAAUUUUAUUACAAGCCAUAUUGGACUUUCCCAAAUUUGUUUCAAUAAUGGUUGUAUUGCCUUUAUUACUAAUUAAUUUAACAUUAGGACUUAAAGUGUUCAUAACUUUAAAUUGGAUUCUAUAAGCAAUAUUAAGAAUCUCAGAUCCAGAAAGGAAUUCAUAUCCUUUAGUAUCUAAGUCCAUCAUAACACUUUGCAUGAUAUUAUCAUCAGAUAGGGAUAACUCCAGAUUAGGGUAAAUAUUACAGUAAACAGGUCCAUUACUCGUAGUGGAUUCCAUAAUACCCAUUAAGGAUUUUUGAUAAUUGGUGCAUCUAGCAUCUCUAAGGGCCAGAAGGAAACAACAAUCAAUUCCUUUUAGGUGUAAAGGUUUGACAGCAAUUUGAAUUAAUCCUAUAUGGAUGUAAUGAUAAUUUUGACGAUAUCUAAUAAUAUCUUGCUCAGUUAUUAGAGGAAUAGAUUUUUUAUUUUCAUUAAUUGGCAUGGUAUGUUCUACUGUCUUAAUAGACAUAGCGACUUUGUAAUCAAAAGAACCAAUGUUAUAAAUUCUUUUAGGUUCAAUUCUGGGCAUAUCCCAAUUUAAUAAUUCAUUUUCCAUUUUCUCUAUAUUAGAGAUUUCAAUACAUUCUUCAUUUUUUAAAAAUUUCUUUUUAUUUUUAAACAUAUUAAACAUGUUGAAUUAUUAUAACAAUAUUUAGAAUAAUAUUUUAAAAGAAAGCUUAAAUAAGGCAGAAUAACACGAAAGUGAAGAUGUCAAUAAGGAGUUAGGGAUCAUGCAGUUCUUUACUCAAAAGUAAUUAUCCAGAAAUAAAAAACAUAGUAGAUUUCUUUUUCAGAUCAUUAAUCAUGAUUAAUACUGACAGUCAGCGAUUUAAGUCACGACUAAAACUAUUUCAUAUCUUAAUUUAUGAUAAAUAUCAAUAGUCAACGAUUUAUGUCACAGCAAAUAAUAAUCUCAUAUCCAAAAUUAUGAUGAACUUCAACAGUCAACGAAUAAAAUCCCUAAACGCCUAACGGCCAUCUGCCUGCGGCUAAACGGGAAACAACGCGACGAAGUCUAUGUUCAUCAUAACUCAGAACACUUAACUAUUACAGCUGGAGACUACAAGUAGUCCAACGCGACAGAGUUGAUAAUAACCAUAAAUCAAAUACAAAACAAUUAUUAGUCGGAGACUACAGAGUAGUCCAACGCGACGAUGUCAAAAGACUAAUCAUAAAUCUCUUUUAAGAGAAUAGAUAAUAUUACUAACAAGAUUUUAAGCAAUAGAGGUCGAUUUACACAUAAGUGCUCAGACCCUCAUCACCGCUGCUGUCAGAGGCCACCAGUAGCAGCUUGACAAUCCAUUCCCCUUACAAAAGGGUUGCAGUGCUCCAAAGGAGUUGCUAUGUUCCUUGAUUAGGAAUAUUCUCCAUAUCUUAAUGAAGAACUGAAACAGUAUCAUCGUUCUUAUUUCGAACAAUUACUGUUGGUCAAGACACUACAUGUUCCCCAACAGUAAUUUACGCUGACAUGGCGCUGAUAAUGUGUGGGCCCCAGUAGGCAUCUUCUUAGUGGAUGGUGGAUUGUGGACCCCAGUUGUAAGUGGGUAGGCCUUAGUGAAUAAUAGGCCCAUUGUUGUCGGUAGAAUAACUUGUUGUCUCUUUGGUGUUGUAGACCCAUUGCUGGCUGAUUAACCUGUGAUGUGGACUCUAUAAUUGGAGUCUGAUAAUUGCUAGUGGUGGACCCAAUUGAGCACUUUGUCUGUGGGUCCCAUUGGGAACAUUAAUUGAUGUGGUCCCUGUUGAAUAGUAGGGAGCAUUGUUUCUGUAAUUUUCGCUGUUGUUUUGUUAGUUUAAUUUUACUAUUUAAAUUCCUGCUUUAAUUUUGGUAUCAGCGCCAUGUCAGCGUAAAUUACUGUUGGGGAACAUGUAGUGUCUUGACCAACAGUAAUUGUUCGAAAUAAGAACGAUGAUACUGUUUCAGUUCUUCAUUAAGAUAUGAAGAAUAUUCCUAAUCAAGGAACAUAGCAACUCCUUUGGAGCACUGCAACCCUUUUGUAAGGGGAAUGGAUUGUCAAGCUGCUACUGGUGGCCUCUGACAGCAGCGGUGAUGAGGGUCUGAGCACUUAUGUGUAAAUCGACCUCUAUUGCUUAAAAUCUUGUUAGUAAUAUUAUCUAUUCUCUUAAAAGAGAUUUAUGAUUAGUCUUUUGACAUCGUCGCGUUGGACUACUCUGUAGUCUCCGACUAAUAAUUGUUUUGUAUUUGAUUUAUGGUUAUUAUUAACUCUGUCGCGUUGGACUACUUGUAGUCUCCAGCUGUAAUAGUUAAGUGUUCUGAGUUAUGAUGAACAUAGACUUCGUCGCGUUGUUUCCCGUUUAGCCGCAGGCAGAUGGCCGUUAGGCGUUUAGGGAUUUUAUUCGUUGACUGUUGAAGUUCAUCAUAAUUUUGGAUAUGAGAUUAUUAUUUGCUGUGACAUAAAUCGUUGACUAUUGAUAUUUAUCAUAAAUUAAGAUAUGAAAUAGUUUUAGUCGUGACUUAAAUCGCUGACUGUCAGUAUUAAUCAUGAUUAAUGAUCUGAAAAAGAAAUCUACUAUGUUUUUUAUUUCUGGAUAAUUACUUUUGAGUAAAGAACUGCAUGAUCCCUAACUCCUUAUUGACAUCUUCACUUUCGUGUUAUUCUGCCUUAUUUAAGCUUUCUUUUAAAAUAUUAUUCUAAAUAUUGUUAUAAUAAUUCAACAUGUUUAAUAUGUUUAAAAAUAAAAAGAAAUUUUUAAAAAAUGAAGAAUGUAUUGAAAUCUCUAAUAUAGAGAAAAUGGAAAAUGAAUUAUUAAAUUGGGAUAUGCCCAGAAUUGAACCUAAAAGAAUUUAUAACAUUGGUUCUUUUGAUUACAAAGUCGCUAUGUCUAUUAAGACAGUAGAACAUACCAUGCCAAUUAAUGAAAAUAAAAAAUCUAUUCCUCUAAUAACUGAGCAAGAUAUUAUUAGAUAUCGUCAAAAUUAUCAUUACAUCCAUAUAGGAUUAAUUCAAAUUGCUGUCAAACCUUUACACCUAAAAGGAAUUGAUUGUUGUUUCCUUCUGGCCCUUAGAGAUGCUAGAUGCACCAAUUAUCAAAAAUCCUUAAUGGGUAUUAUGGAAUCCACUACGAGUAAUGGACCUGUUUACUGUAAUAUUUACCCUAAUCUGGAGUUAUCCCUAUCUGAUGAUAAUAUCAUGCAAAGUGUUAUGAUGGACUUAGAUACUAAAGGAUAUGAAUUCCUUUCUGGAUCUGAGAUUCUUAAUAUUGCUUAUAGAAUCCAAUUUAAAGUUAUGAACACUUUAAGUCCAAAUGCUAAAUUAAUUAGUAAUAAAGGCAAUACAACCAUUAUUGAAACAAAUUUGGGAAAGUCCAAUAUGGCUUGUAAUAAAAUUAUUCCUUGGGAUCAGAUUAGUUAUCCUGAGAACUGGGAUCACCAGGGAAUCAUCCCUGCCCAACCUGUUAAUAGAAACUUAGAUCAAAUCAUCCAGAACCCCGAAGGUGAUAUUGAAAUAAGGUUUUCCUCUAACAGGAUAUCCAGGCUUAAAUCUGUUAAAAAUUUCUAUUAUCAGGAACCAUCUAGAGCUUCUACUUCCAGUAUUCCUGAUAAAAUAAAAUCUGAAUUAGAUGAUGAAUUUGAAAUUAAAGGAAUAAAAGAAUCUAACAAUGCUAUUCCGCAUGGUCUUUAUAAUAGGACUUCUGCCCUUAAUCCUACCCCUUCGGAGAUGAAUUUUUCUAUUAAUAUAAUAGAAUUAGUCAAUGAAUUUAAAAUUGAUCAGGUAGCCAUCCAUAAUGAAUGGAAAGGUCCUCAAUAUGAUGCUUUUCGAAAAUGGUAUAAUGACCAGUAUAAUUAUGAACAACAUGAAAUUUUGAAAGAAAAUUAUUACAAUUAUUUAAAUGAUACUAAGAGCAUUAUUCCAUUCGCGCAUUAUGUGCUGAGAUGGGAUAGGACGUUAGAAUCAUGUGUUAUCAAAGAAUUUUAUAACAAUUGGACUACUACUGAUGGUAAAAAUAUUACGGCUAUUCAUCCUCCUACCCAGCCUUUAAAAUUAAUUAAUGAGUCAUCUAUUCUUGAAACGGUUGCUUAUAUUCAACCUUCUGAUAAUGAUACAGGUUUAAAUAAGGUUUUCAAACAGUCUAAUUAUACCAAUUUAUGUCUUCAAACUAUUGGAAAACAAUUAAUACGUAUUGAAGAUGCUGUUAGCAAGCCAGAACCCAAUAAAAAGGUCUUUCCUGUUAGUAUUAAACCUCCUCCUGAUAUGAAGUUUAAUUUAGGGAAUAAUAAAUUGAGUCAGGACGAUUUUAUGGAAGAACUUACUAAAAAGUUGAAGGAUAUAAAAUUAACCAAUAAUCAUAUUGCUGUGUUAUCACAAAAUGGUGAAUUAUCUAGUGAAAAUAUUGAAGAAUUUCAAAAUAUAUUACAAAAUAUGGAACAGGAAGUUAAUGAACUUGAAUUUAGUAAAACCAAUAAAGAUAAAAUACCACCUACUAGGACUUAUUAUCCCAGGCCUACCACUAUGGAUAUUCUUAAUGAAGAAGAUUACAUUGCUGUCCAAACAUCAUAUAGUGCUAAGACUAUAUAUGAAUGGAACAUAGACAGUUUAUCGGAAUAUAUGAUAUAUGUCACCCUGCAUAGAAUUCUUAUGUUUGCUACUGUUUGCAAAAAUUCUAAUAAUACUGAUAAGCAAACAGCCGGUUUUAUUAUAGCCGGUUUUACGGGGCAAUUAAAAGGAUGGUGGGAUAACCUUCUUACCCCUAGCCAAAGAGAAGAGAUUCUUGGUUCAGUUAAAUUAGAGAUUAAUACCUCAGGCCAACAAUCCCACAUUGAAGAUGCUGUUUAUACUCUAUUUCAAACCAUAAUUAAACAUUUUAUCGGUAAUACUAUUACCGCUAAUGAAAGAGGUAAAGAUUUACUCAUGAAUUUGAAAUGCCCAACUUUAACUCAUUUUCGUUGGUAUAAAGAUGUUUUUAUGGCAAAAAUCACGAAUAGACAUGAUGGUAAUAAUGCCUUUUGGAAAGAAAAAUUUAUUUCUGGAUUACCUAUUCUUUUUGCUGAAAAAGUCAAAAAUAGACUUAAAAAUAACCAUGAUGGGAUUCAAAUUCCUUAUGAUUAUUACACUUAUGGGGAACUUAUUAGUGAAUGCACUUCGGAGGGAUUAGCCCUUUGUAAUGAUAUUCGGCUUAAGAAUCAGCUUAAGAAACAAAAUUUAACUGGGAAAAAAGAAUUAGGUCAAUUUUGUGAACAAUUUGGGUAUGAUAUACCUAAACAGAAAGAUAAAACUGAUUUAUCAAAGAAAAGAUUUCCUAAGAAAUAUUUCAGAAGAAAACCUUAUAAAAGACCUGACCAGGUCUUGCCUAAACAAAAAUCUAAUUUUAACCCUAAAGAUAAUAAAGGGAAUUUUAAAAAUAUUACUUGCCAUAAAUGUGGUAAAAAAGGUCAUUAUGCUAAUCGGUGUUAUUCUAAAACCGAUAUUCGUAAACAAAUCAACGAAUUAGGCAUUGAUGACAGUAUCAAAAAACAAAUUAACCAAAUUUUGGAUACUAAUGAAACUUCUAGUUACUAUUCGGAUGAUUCUUCUGACCAAAUCAUGGAAGUUGAGGAACUCACUAAUAGUGAGUCCGACAAUAGUAAUCAGUCUGAGAAAGGAUGUUCUGCACAUUGCAAGACUUCCCAAGACUAUUACAAAGCUAUUAUUGAUAUGAAUGGCCUUAGUAUAAAUGUUUUGUCUGAAAGCCAAACGUUAAUUCUUGAUAUGAUUGACAAUAUUGUCGAUCCUACUGAGAAAAGACAGGCUAUUGAAAAAUAUAUAAAAGACUCCUAUAAUAAUAGGUUAAAUUCCAGUAUUAUGGAGCCUUAUUCUUUACAAAAGGUUUUCGACAGAAUAGAAUCAAAACCUUUGAUUAAAGAAGUUCCUAUUUCUGAAUUUAGAAAGGAAAUAGACAAUUUCAAAACCGAAAUUAAUAAUCUAAAAUGGAGAAUUUCCCGUUUGGAGAAGAAAUAUACUCUUCCUAUUCCUGUCAUCAAAACGGAUGAAAAUAAAGUAUUAUUAUCAUUAGAUAAUAAUAUUAAUCAAAAAUGGUAUGUUAAUAUCAAACUCAUUAUUCAGGAUUUUGUUUUAGAAACUAUUGCCCUAAUAGAUAGCGGAUCGGACCUAAAUUGUAUAAGGCAAGAUCUAGUACCUUCUAAAUAUUUUGAAAAGGUCCAUUAUGCCUUGAAUACUGCAAACAGUUCUCCUAUGGAGAUAAAUAAUAAACUAUCAAAUGUUUUAAUAUGUAACAAUACUAUUCGUAUAAAAACCUAUUUUGUUCUAUCUAACACUUUAUCUCAAAUGGUAAUUUUAGGAAAACCAUUUUUAAGCCUUAUCUGGCCCAUCGAAAGAAUUGAUGAUGAAGGAAUUCAUACUAUCCUUAUGGGGAAAAGAGUUAUUUUUGAAUUUAUCAUAAAACCCGAUAAGGAUUAUAACAAUCAAUUUAAAGAAAAAAGAGUUUUUGAAAUAUUUGAGGAACAAUAUAGUUCCGAAAUUAAUAUUCCUCUUAUCUAACCAUAAUUUUCUUUGUAACAGGGAAUCUCCUAAUUAAAGGAUUGAUUUAUAUCUAGUAAGACAAUACAUAAUUAUCUCCAUCCUAAUUAAAGGAUUGAUCUACGUCUAGUAAGACGAUAAAUUUCUAUCCUAAUUUAAGGAUUAGAUUAUCCUAAUUAAAGGAUUUAUUGUUAAUCUCCAAUGAGACAAGAUAAACGAUAAAUUUCUAUCCUAAUUUAAGGAUUAGAUUAUCCUAAUUAAAGGAUUUAUUGUUAAUCUCCAAUGAGACAAGAUUGAUUUUAUUCUAAUUAAAGGAUUUAUAAAUCUCUAAUGAGACAAGUUUUGUUCCAUCCUAAUAAGAGGAUUGAUUUAUAAUGACUAAUUUGUCAGAAUGAUUCUUUCGUUUUAAUAAAAACGACACUUGCUCCAAUUAAUUUUGCAGGAAUGGCUACUCCUGGUCAAGAAAAUAAUCCUAAUUCGGAUUCUAUUAAGAGAAAACGAGAAAUAUCUUUCUCUCCUCCCAAAUGGGAAGAAUUAUCUCCUGCCUUAAAAGAAAGGAAACAAAAUAUCAGUAAGUCUUUUAUAGAAGAUAAUAAUACCAGAUCAUAUCUGAAGAAUUCCAAUGAAUUAAUUUUUGAUUUAACUAAUAACGAUAUGAUGUGGUUAUACUCACCUAUCUAUCAAGGUCUCACAAAUUUUGACCCAGAGACUAAUAGUCCCUCCCAAAUUCUUGAACGUAGAAAUUUCUACGAAUCCAUUUUAAUUACGACCAAUUCAGUCUCUUUUUCUAAGGUUAAUAACCAAUUUUCUAAACCUUAUCGUAAUGCUCUCAUUCAUAAAAUAAUAGAACCUCCCGAAUGGGGUGAACCUUUUAUUACCAAGCCUCUUAUAGGUCCUUUUCCUCAUUUCAACAAUCUUCGGACUUUCAAUCAUUGGGACUAUAUGGACGCAUGGACAUAUACAUUCUUUCAUAAGAAUCCCCAACUAGAAUAUUUCUGGAAAUUUUCUUUUUCCCCCGAAUUUAACAGUACUAUACCUACCUGGUUCUUUAACUGGUGGUUUAAAUUUAACCCAAGCAUGAAUUAUGUGGCCACCGACAUAACAAUUUUAAAUUACCAUUUCAGAUUAAAUUCAGAUGGUCAAAUAGAAUUGACAGACUAUAACCCACCUUUUUCAUGGAGAGUUAUGGCAAAGGACUCACAAUUAAACCAAAAUUUCCAGAAUUUAGUAUUACCAUCUCUUUAAUUAAGAAAGAGUAUUAUUAGACUCCGACACGAAAGAUGAAAUCCAAUUAUCCGGAUAUUCAGCAGACUAAAGGGUCUACAACACCCACGGGAAUUACCGACAGACGAAUCUUCCAGAAACAAUGCUCCCUACUAUUCAACAGGGACCACAUCAAUUAAUGUUCCCAAUGGGACCCACAGACAAAGUGCUCAAUGGGGUCCACCACUAGCAAUUAUCAGACUCCAAUUAUAGAGUCCACAUCACAGGUUAAUCAGCCAGCAAUGGGUCUACAACACCAAAGAGACAACAGGUUAUUCUACCGACAACAAUGGGCCUAUUAUUCACUAAGGCCUACCCACUUACAACUGGGGUCCACAAUCCACCAUCCACUAAGAAGAUGCCUACUGGGGCCCACACAUUAUCACAAGAUGCCAAAUGGGGUCCACAAUCCACCAAAUGGGGUCCACCAUCCACUAAGAAGAUGCCUACGGGGGCCCACACAUUAUCAAGAUGCUUUAAUGGAGCCCACUCACCAUGCUCAAUGGGGCCCACCCAUUAGCAAGAUGCCCAAUGGGGCCCACUUCUCACUUAUCCAACUUGCCUAUAAAAGGAGGCAUUUGCAUUGAAAGAAAGCAAGCUUCAACAAUCGAGCCUUCAACGCUCAGAAGCAAACCUUCUCCCUCUCUCUCUCAAGCCUUCUCCUUUCUUCUCUUCCUUUCUCUACUUGUAAAGUUUUCUUUUCUUUUGUAACCUUUCCCUUUUCUUUUCCUUGUAGGACAAGGAAAAGAACUGUUAAAUUCCCAAGUAUCAUCACAGGACAGUUAAACUAUUGGCAAACUAGGAAGAUUUGGUCAAACACCAGUGGUAAGCCUAGUUGGGCAGAUCCAGUGUUCGGAGAAGUAUAUAUGGCUACGGUAUAUGUGACACCCCCGAAAUCCGAUCCUAGUUGAUCAGGCCAAGACCAGACGUCAGAGUCAUAAUAUUCUCCAUAUGUCCAUUAUGGACCAUAGGUUCACACUACUGCCACGUGACACCCAAGCUCUAAAUCCAAUAUCCAUGUAAAGACAAGAAAGAAAAAAUAACACGAAUAAAAUACAAACAAACCAACAGUGGAAGAUUUAUUUCAAACCAAACUCCUUAUAUACAUAUAAACAAGAAUUCAAACAACCAAAAGGAUAAAGAGUGUAUGCCUACCCCAAGGGCUAAAUCUGAUAACAAAAGACCAACUACAAACUUAGAACACCUUUACCUAUCUAACUAUCACCAACUGUAUCAUCUUCGCACGCUCCGAGUAUCGCCUUACAUGUUUCUUGAAAAGAGGAGAAAAAAGAGCGAUUAAUUGUUAGCAAGUUACAAAACUUAAUAUCCAAUCUUGAUCCCAGGGACGGAAUCAACGCACUCAAUAGUAUAUCAAUAAUAUAUGUAUCAGUUAUAAUUAUUAAAUCAAUUCAAGCCACUUGAAUCAAUAAACAAUUAUAUAAACAAGCCAAUCACACAUGGCAAGUCAUCGUAUUGAGCGUGCAAGUCAAGUUCCAAGUAAAGUAUUGUGGGGCAGAGAUUCUUGUAAUCUUCAUAAUAUUCAGUAAAGAAGAUAGUUUUCUUCGAGAUCUUGUGUUUUGUUUAUCUUAUUUACUACUAUUGUUUAAUUCCGCAUUUAAUAGUUUAUUUGCCUAGUAAUCUGUAUCAAGUUGGUAUCAGAGCUAAAGUUGUACCAAGUUGGUAUCAAAGCAAAGUUCGAUUCCCUGGUGCAGUUUUCUAUCGUUUAUGGUUUUAACUCGUUCGCAUUACAGAAAGUUAGGUAAAGUCCUUGUGUCCUUGGAAGAUUAUAAGAAGACAAGAACAAAGAAGAUGACAAAAACAAAAUCAAAGAAAUUUGAGGUGGAGACAUCUACUUCGCAGCAGAAAGCCAACCUGAAGUAGAAGCAGAAAAAAUUGUUUUCUAAUCAAGGUGAUGUUGGUGAUCGAGAUGAGCCAUUCAAGGAAGAUUGCAUAUUGGAGCGCAAGGUGACUAAGACACGAAGUGGGAAACAUACAAUGUUUCGUAUUAAGCGUGUAAGUCAAGUUCCAAGUAAAGUUGAAUGGUUCAGCAAAGUCCAGGGAACUUUUGAGUUCUCUAAUCUCCGAUUUUAGCUUAAACAUGACUUUAAGUUCCUACAGGGGGGAGCCAUGAUACAGGUGUAUCCUACUUGGGAAUUUAGCUUAAAUAGGUUUCCUUGUUCCAUAAGGGAUAGAAUUUCAGGAAAAGGGAAAUCCUUGGCCUAUAAAUAUAUGUUUUGGCAUAAACAAAAAUAUAUAGAGAGAAACAUGUAGUCUUUACUUGUUUCAAGAGAAACCACUUAUGUUUAGUGGUUUAGUGAUGUUUUGGCAUAAACCAAAACAUAGACCAAACAUAACUUAUUUUAGCUUGUUUAGAAAAACCACUAAGGAUUAGUGUGUUUAGAAAUAUUGAGACAACUAGGGUUUAGCUUGUCUAGAGAGUAUUGUGAGGCAAAGAUUUUUGUAAUCUUCAUAAUAUUCAGUUUAGAAGAUAGUUUUCUUCGAAAUCUUGUAUUUUGUUUAUCUUAUUUACUGCUAUUGUUUAAUUCCGCAUUCAAUAAUUUAUUUGUCUAGUAAUUUGUAUCAUGUGAUGUCUCUUUAAACUUAGCCCCAUGUGCUCCAUGUCAAUCCACUGCCAUAUAUUGCCUCUUCAAAAUUUAUUUCAUUUUUAACACCACACCAAACAAAGGACAACAACUGAGCAAAGGCCAAGGGGUAGAGCUUGCCACAAAGCACUGCCAAUCCUUCUUGGUGAGGGAGGAUUCCAGGGUGUAUACGGGAAGACCUCCGUUAACUGCCUUGAAUGAAAGGCCUUGGAAGAAAACCAGCAGACAUGACUCAGCCACCCGGUCAAGAGAAUAAAGUGUUGAUAGCCGGCCAGUUCAAGAGAAAACUCUUGAAAUCACAAUGUGCCAUAAUAUUGGUGGCCCUUCCCAAGUGCUGAGAAUAUUCCAAGUGUUCUUUCACCUUAAUUCCCAAGUGGGGGUCUCAUGUUUCAACUUUUCACUAGGGCCUCAUGGCUUUUGUUUUGGUGGCCAACACUAGUUCUGGUCUUUCCAUUAAACACCACCUCAUUACAUGUUUUCCAAACGACCCAUAUAACUGCAUAUGGUACCCAGGUUCGGAGCUUUCACUCCAAAGCUUGUCACUCCUCUGAUUAGCCAUAUAGACAUCCAGUUCAAUAUAGAGACCUCCACCUAAAAUUUAUGCUCUACAUUCCCACCGGCUACAUCACAGAACAUCAAAGUUCUGUUGGAACCCUGCAUUUAAGAAAUAGAUAAAGAGCACUCUCCCUCCUCGUUACAAAACAACAAGAACUUUCCACAUCCAUCCAUAUAACAUUCAAUCUCGCUGAUGUAGGAGCCCUACCCAUCAGUAACAACCAAAAGAAAACUUUGAUCUUUGUAGGCACUUGCACCCUCCAAACCAGGUUGGUUGGGAAAACUUGCAGUUCCAUAGCUGCAUUGAGAUUCCCUUCGCCCUAGCUGCUUGUGAAAACCCCUGACAGUGAAACUACUAGCUGCUGAACUCUCCAUUCCCAAGAGUCUGGUUCCCCACAGACUGACUUGAUGAGUAAAACAGCCAAAUGAAUAUAUAAAACUGCUCUUGUUCCCUUUUCAAUAACGGUCUCCCGAAAUGAAAAUUCCAGUGAUUAUGCAAUGCUGCAACUAAAUCUUGCUGCGAUUUUGAUAGAGCAAACAGCUGAGGAAAGAGAGUUUAAGUGGGCUUUUCUCGUAUACCAGUCCUCCCAGAAACAAAUUUUGUUGCCAUCACCUAAAACACAUCAAACCCCUUUCCCGAACUCCUCAAACACUGACAUUAUCUGAUUCCAGAGGCUGACACCAAGUAGGAAUUUAUCAAAACAAUUAUCCUAAUAAGGGUGUAACAGCAUGUGAUGUGCUAUGUGACAGCCAUUUACAUCCAGCAAGAAUACAGUUGCGUACCUAAUAACAUAUUCAACUAACAGGAACAAGGCACUUCACAACUCUCUUAAAAGGGUUGUUGCUUAAAAUGGCAUCAGUAGUCCAUUGUGUUAGGCACGCAGCUCUGAAAUAUCAAGGGAGCAGUUUUAAAUAAUGUAUGCAUCUUAUAUUCACAUUGUAUUAUUUACAGAACUAUUUGUUAAAACCGAACCCAACAACGUGUACAUUUAGCCUCACAGUCUCCUUUACAAUCUACAUUAUAACCCAAGACUUUGGGAUUGCGAAGAAGAAGACUGCGAAGAGACUUCCCUUUGAUCCCCCAUGUUUUCUCCAAAACUUGUACAUUGUUUUUCAACUCGUCAUUGAGACUACAUCCAAGCACCUCAGGGAACUUUUUUAAUAACUUCCCUAUAUCAUCGUCAGAGAGCCCUAAGCUUCGCAAAUAAUCCAAUAUUUCACUAACUACCUCAAGUUUUGGAGCUUCUUUCACUCUUUCUUCCCACCAAUAAGGGGAAUGAACAUGUCCAAAUGCUUUUCCCAAUAUCUUGUCUUUCUCCUCGAUACUAAAUUCAAAUGCAGUCAGUGCCUCCCUACACAUAUCCCACAUUUUCUUCUCUUCGUCGCCCAAAGUUAUAGACUCGGUUUGUGCACCUGAACCUAAAUUCCACUUUUUCAACGUAGAAAUAGGUAAACAAGCUCUCCCUCUAAUCUCAUCAAAUUGACCACUUGUUCUUCUUCCAUGUGACACUUUUUGCUUCACUAUCGCGAUAUUUGCUGCGGAUGUUGCAAUGUCCAACUGAAAUAAGAUGAGAAGAAGCUUUAAAAUCAAACUUUAGAUAUCAUCUUAUUAUACAUGAUACUAACAAUACAUAAUGUUCCAGCACUUUGAUUUUGGAAGUAUCUGAUAUGCUCAACCUUGGUCAAGUAUCCAUUUCGUUUAAGUAAGACCGCGACUGGGAUGAAGACCUACUAGAUCUUGCUUUUCAUUGAAAGGAGUUUCAUAUCUAAUGCUAACAUUGCAGUUUUUUUUUUCAUUUCCCUUAUAAUUUUUAUAUGUUCAUUUGAUAGGCAUGUUUUUUUGCUGCCAAAAUAUUAGUUGAUAAAAAUGAAAAAUAAUAUCUUACCUCUAAUUUGACCUGACACACUUCAUCCUAUUUAAGACUGAACUAAAAUAGGAUUAAUUUCAAAGAUAUGUUUGAAAAUGUUGCAAAAUAGAAAUCAUAUUACAAGAACAUAUAAAUAUUCUAUAUAUUUGAACAUGAUAUUGACAUAGAUGAUAUCGCUAAUGUAAUAUAAUGAACACUACUUAUGGAAGCUUAAUACUUUUGCAUUACUAAAACGAUAUGACAUAGGGGUAGAAGAAGAGUUUAACAUAAGCUUUUACUCAUAGAGAUUACAAGAAUAGCAACUGAAAAAACGAAAACAUACUUAACAAACCUGAGCCAACAUGAAAAUGCAAGCUCAAACUUACACUCAUAAACACUACUAACGCCACUUAGAAGAAUUGAAUUUUGUAACGCAAUAUAUGACACCUAACCCUUGCUUAAACUCUUGAUCGUCAUUGGUCCAUCUACCCAAAACCUAAUAUUUUAUCUUUACUCACAUCUAGUACUUCUGUGUAUCUUUCUGGAACUGGCUCAAAAUUAUUCGGUGAAAUUUCAACAAGCUCUCGCAAAUUUUCAACAAGGGUAUGGAAGUUGGAAGCAUCUAUCCUUGGGAGGUGGGGAAUUUUUUAAUAUAGUUCACAAAGUGUAUAUCAAACACAGCCUGCCAGUGAUCGAUAUGAUGGAGGUGGAUAUUCAACUGUCCAAUACAAAGAAGAUGCCAGUCUCUGGAAAGGGCCUUCCAGAUAAUGGUAGAUAUGAUUCGAACAAAGCCAGGUUCAAAAUGAGGAUUGUAGAGAUUCUAAUCAAGCGAAGGAUCAAGAUGCGGCAAUAUAAAAUUAAUUGAAUGAUGAUAAAAAUUGACUUCAACAGUGCAUGCCCUCAAGGCUUCUGAAUUUCACUAUAUCUGGAUCAAGAGAACUUUCUAGUAUUCCCCCAGUGUCUUAUUGUAUUUUUGAUUAAUUAGGACAGGAACUCUCUGCAUUCUCCCAACAUUCCUGACUCCCGAGGACUGAAACGUGGUGACCUUUUACCACCAUACUUAUUUAUUCAUCAUGUGUCAGGAGAGCCCAUCUUCAUGCGUUAUAUCAUCUUUCCACUUGAAAACCUAUAUUGCCAAUAUUUAGAUGCACCAAAAAUUCAUAUAUUUUCUUUGUCAACAACAGUAUGUACGGUUCAAAGCAACUCUCCCUAACUGUCAUCACUCUAUUAUCUGACUAAUAAAAAUUUUCAAGCCUCAGAACAGAUGACAUAAUUUCUGCUAAUCUACCUAAACAUAAAACAUCUAAGUUGACUUCUUGUAUCCCGUCAUGUUAAAAGUAGCCCCCCAGUUGAAAAGUUAUUUGGGUUUGUCAACGAUUUAAGGGCAGGUUCAUUUUCUACUUUCUAAGAUAGUAUUCAUACUGCUAAUAUUUAUUUGAUUGACUGGAAAACGAAUGCCUAGUUGAAGAAUCCUUUUUUUUUUUUUUUUUUUAUUUGAUUGACAAACGAGGUUGAGGGGACCCCUACCCCUUUUAAAUUACGUGAGGAAACUUUUUAUCAAACAAUCAACUGCUGAUGUUUUUCGAGCCCGCAAACUCUCCACUUUGUGAGAGGAAUGCAUUGCUUUUUUUCUUUUCUUUUGUCUAUGAUACAACCACAAAAACUCUUAAAUCAUCUGGGCCAGAUUGAAAAUCCUUCUUCUGGAGUUAAACUCUUCACAAAAUAAGAUACAACACUGUAAUCGGCAAACUGUGGUGGAAGAGAUUAUGGCAGUCUUAGACUUCGUGAGCUUCACUUAUGUUACUCAGUUAUACAUCUCUAACAAAACUGGCUUUAAUUAUCACUAAUGGUAAACUAAAAUGCCACUCGUCGAACCCAAUUUUGAAGCCAAGUACUACAAAGUACAGACAUCAAAAUAAUAUUGACGCUGAAACUUCUUCUAAUUCAUAUUGGGGUUGUCUUAAACUGGGCUUACAAAUGAUCUAUUGGAGAUGGCAGUCAGGUCAGCUUUUACCCUGAACCUUUACUUUCUUUAAACUUAGGCUAUAAUUCUAUAACCCAUUCUGGAUUGCUAAAGUCGGUUUUAUUUACCAGAAUUCUGGGAUGUAGAAUUAAGAUAUUUUUUUUUUUUGCAAAGAAGCAAGCUGGGGUUUGGCAGACCCCUACCAGUUUAUUAAAGAUAAAAAAUGUUUACACUAACAUACAAUUCACCUAGAGCAUCCUGGCCAAGGUAGUUGUUCAGUAGCUCUUCACAUGGACCUGUAAACAUACUAAGUUCAUCCUUUCUGUUACAUUUUCCUGUCACAAAAUCUCCACACCUAUUUGUUUCUCUAAAAAUGUGCCUGAAUGUGAUGGUUUGAAACUCUUGUUCCAAAUGUUUGAUCUUGUUAACAUGUGGCCUUGCCCUCAAUGAUGCCUCCAGUAGAAUCUAGAUUUGCUGAGAUGAAAUUUAAGAUUACCUUAUGGCUCAACCAUUAAGUUAUACUAGCAACUGACAAUACUUUGAUUUGGAUUCCUCGUCAUCCUGGUGGUGUUACACUAAGAUUUGUGUAACAUUUAGCCCCACGACAUCACUAGACCUAGGCCAAAUUCUUUUCACAAGUUGAAAUAUCGAUGGAAAGACUUUGUGCCUCUAGCUAAUAUCGAUGGAAAUAUUUUAUAGAUUGCCUAUUCGUAUAAAAUUAGAGGAGAAAAUGAAGCAAAAUGAUCCAUCUGUCCUCUCUGGUGGAAGCUGUUAAUCAUAUUUUUUAAUUUUUCAAUUUGAACACACUAAAAUUGAUUGGGAUGCAUCAUGCAUGGCAUUUUUCAUUAGACUCCCCUAUUCCCUCUUAAUGCUUGAUUGUGUGAUCGCACAUUGGCAUUGCAGAUGACUUAUAACUAUGUCAAUUCUCCCCAGUAGUGAUUUGCAAUCCUAAUGGCAUGUUGCUAAUCGUGGGUUGUUGGCAAUCUUAAACAUAGCCUCUAGCAUUCUGAUAAAUGUUUGAUGGUUCACACAAAUAGCAUGUCCAUAGAGAGAAGAAAAUGAAAUUUAGAGUUAUAUGUAGUGCGCAAGAACUUAUAUUCAAUGAGGAAAAAAAAAAUUAAAAGGAAAAAUAUCACAUUACUGGACUUAUCAUGUUCUAUAUCUACGUUGAAGAUUAAAAUAGAUACAAAAAUUAAAAAUUACAAGAUUUGAUAAUAGUAUGGAUAAACAAACAAACAGACUUACAGAAUAGUUGUUGUUGUAACAACUUGUAGCAGAAUGAGAUGUGAGUACUAGAGGGGAAUUACUACUACUAGUGAAUGAUUUCCCCAUCCCCAGCAUUGCUUGCUUGCUUGUUUCACUGUCAAUUGUCAAUUGUCAAUUGUCAUAAACCAAACAAACAAAAUGAAUUGCCAAACUACUAAACUGAUUCUUAGAAACUACUGUACUACUAUACUAAACCUUAAAGCGAUUAAUCAAAUUUUUUACCUAAACCCUAAACCAAGAUCAAUCUAGCUAGAAUAGAUUCAGGGAUUUUGAAUUGAAUUGAAGUGCAACUUUUGUCAACUGUGUGUGUGACUGUGGGUGGGUGGGUCCCACUUUAGCGUUUCAGGCACUUGCACCUCACACUUUAUUUAACGAACGAACGAACGAACAAACGAACGAAAGAACGCCCCAUUUAAAAGUCGUGUAUACGUAUUUUUAAUUGGUCGGUCGUUCGUUGGUUCGUUUCCCAUCUUUGUUUUGUUUUGUUUUGUUUUGUUUGUCAACUGUUGUAUGUAUGUAUUCAACUCUUUUACACAGAUAGAGAGCUACUACAUCUCAUCAUCAUCCAUUCAUCCCAUCUUUUAUAUUCUAGUUGAAUUAAUUGAAUAAAAAACCCUAGAACAAGAAGAAGAAACAAUUCGAAUUUGAAUUUGAGUUGAGUUGAGUUGGAUCAAUCGAUUUACAACUCUUAUAUCUCAAAACCCUACUACUACUACUAAUAGUCGUCAAAGCAGAGUGAAGAGAGAGAAGAAGAAGAAGAAGAAGAUGAUGAUGAUGAUGAUGUAUUGCUAUUGAAUGGCUCAAUACAGACAAUCAUUUUCAUCAGCAGCUGGAGAUCAAGUUUCUUUAGGAAUUCGAAUUCCUAUAUCACAUAAUAAACAAAGUGGAUUUCGAAAUCGAAGAUCUAAUAAUCGUACUUGUUGUGAUAAGAAGUGCAAUAAGAUCUCAAUUGGUGCAAUUGCUGUUAUUCUCUCUUGUGGUCUUCUUGUUACUAUCUUCACUUACUAUCGUAUUUCCAUUCAUGAUAAUAAUAAUAAUAAUAAUAAAGGUAUAUAUGCUAUUCCCAUUUUCCAUUUUUCAUCUUGUUUGAUUUUUUAGUUGACAAUUAAUUAACCAUUUCCUCAAACAAAUAAUAUUCAUAAUGCAUUCAUACCAUUACUAAAGUUCCAGGGAUGAUGAGUUCAUUAAACUGCAAGUGUUUUUCGUUAUUUUCAUCUGUGGUAGGUUACACUUGUUCUUUUGUAUAUUCAUGCUGUCUAAUUUUGAUGCAUGUUAUGUUGUUACUCAUUUUCUAGACUGUUUGCAUUGCAAAUCCAGUAACUUGCUUCAUUCUAAGUUUGGACAUAAACUUUACCUUUGUUGUUUGCAGAAUUAGAUAUUUCUAAUGUUCUCAACAAUGACUUGGAUAUUAUUAAUGCAAAUCUAACUCAGACUAAGACCUCCAGAGUUCUCAAGUUUGGUCAUGGUUCCAUUGCCCAUGGACGAGAUUCAAGGUAUUGGGACAGAGAUGACAGGAGAAGGGAUGACGAUUACAAUGAGAGAGAGUCAGAAAUUGGUAACACUCGUGGUCAGGAGACUAUAAACAUUCAACAUAAUAAAGAUAAGACUCAAACCAAACAUCCCAUUGUUGAUAAUUCUUCAGGAAAGUCGAAUGGGAAGUUAAGACUUGAUCAAACAAAUGUGGGAUUGUACAAUGAAGCUGGGCGUGAUGAACUAAAACAUUAUGAAGCCGAGUACGAGGCAUCUCUUAAGAAUGUUGGCCAAUUAAGACAAAUGAACAGUAAUGGUAAUGAACAUGACGGAAAAUCUAAUGGCGUGGACUUGGAAUCACAAAUUGAAGGGGCUGAUGUUGACGACGAAUACGAUGAUGGUAUUGAUUCUCUGGAUGCUCGUGUCUUAGAAACUGAUGUUACUAAACAUGACAAUGAAGCUGAGUCUGAUGUUGACAAAGGGCAGGGUGAUGAUGCUGGAGAUCCAUCUGAUGAGACUAAACGUGCAGUGACUGAUGAAUCUGGUAAGGCCUCUCGAGCAUGGACUUCUGAUUCUCAGAGUAGUGAUAAAGUGAAAUUGGAUUCCAGGCAUGUCAGUUCUAUCAGUGGUCGUCCUACAAAAAGAUCCAACCUUGAAAAGAGGUCAAACACAAGAAGAAGACCUAGACGCAAAUAUUCUGGUAAUUCUCCUUUCAUAUCUAUGGGUAACUUUUUUUUCUAGACGAAGAAUUACUGUAUAAUAAUAGUGAAUGAUCGUUGUAUGUGAUUUUAUGAUCAAAUAACAAUGAUGAUAUAUGUAUUGAUAUCAAUGAUGAUAUGUUUAUAAAUGGUGCGGUAAGUAUCUUCCUUUAAAUAAUUGUUGCUUCAAACCAUGUGAAGAAUAAUCCAACAAGGAAAAAUAAUGUAUAUAGGUAAAACCGUAAAACAGCUUUCUGCACAACCCACACGAGUUAAGAAACCAAUUCUAAAACAAUAUUAAAGGGGAUUCUAUUUUACAAAGACAAUCAAUCUCCGGUAAACAAAAAUGAGAUCUUUAGAAGUCCUUUCUAAUUAUCUCGUUAGAGAAGGGAGACUGAUAGCAGUGUAUUUUCCAUCUCUCCCUCUUUGAUCUUAUAUAAGCUGCUCUCGGUUUCUUCUCCAUCCAUCUUAGUUACUGGCUCCUACCUAAAGGGUAAUUUUACCAGUUAUCUGAACUGGAACUAACACCGAUGGGCCCUUUAACUUCUCUUAUUACGUGUCAAUCAUCAUUUUGUGACAGAAAGUUCUUAGUUAUAUGCAUGUUAGGGCUUAGUAACGGAGAAACAUUACCAAUUGCAUAGUUUUUUCACAGUCGAUAGCCUUGAGAUUCACUAAAUUAUGUUCAUGUAAAGCCGUUUUUAAGGUAAAGGGCAAAUGCUUUCUGAAGGAUUCACUGAUGAUUAUUAAACAAGUGCUUAAUAUAAUGGAAAGACUAUUUUUGACUAUUAUGGCACUACUAGUAGGAAGCUGUAUGUGGUCACCUCAUCCUGCUUAGUUGCAGUGUUUAGGGUAGACAACAUUGCUUGGACAGUCCAGGCUCGUCGGAACUACCAGACUUCUGUUAUUUUGCAAGGAACUCUAUAGAGAUGGUUAUAUGUAGGACUGAUAUGCUCUUUUGGACCAGCCAUCUCAUUGGUUAAAUGAGACCACAAGCUGAGGUGAAGGACUAUUUUUGGUUCAUGGCUGUUCAAAUGACCACAAGCCUCGCCCAAAUGACAAAACGACUUCAGCUGCAGGAAACCUUGUUAGUCUCAUUAUUUUGAGGCAGGGGUUUACCCUCCCUACGGUUAUCUUAUAUUAAAGGAAGGUGUAGAGAGACGAAAACUUUUUUUUUUCUUGAGCGUGAGAGAAACAGGAGGGAGGUUUAUUGAACCUUGUUUGAGAAAAUGUACUGUUCAUCAUCUUCUUCUUCUUCUUCUCAUAUUUUAAAACAAACUAUUACUGCAUUGUCGAACCACAUAUAUGUGUAUGCUUUUUGUGAAUGUACUUGAUUCUAUUUAUUUUGUUCUAGUUUGCUGCAAACAGCCAAAAUGGUUCUGGGGUUUGGGUUGAUCCCCAUAUUUGUUGGACUGCUUGAGUAGCAAGCAUAUCACUCUAUAAAUAUGAUGUCUUGUGAUCAGUUAGUUGAUUAUCAGAAGAAAAAACAAUAUUUUCGAUGAAAAAUCAAUUUUGGAUGAAAAUUUGAAUUGGGGUAAGAGAAGAAGAAAGGGAAAAGAAGAAGAAGAAGUGGAGAGGAGUUUUGCUUAGAGUAAACUGUUAGUCUGCCGCUAAGAGCAACCUGGUAAUCUGUUAUCUUGUAUGCGGAAGAAACUUUAUACAAGUUGGACACCAUUUGAAAAGUUAAAUAUAAACUCGAUAAACAGAAGGAAUUUCUCAAAAUUUUGAUAUAUACACAAACUACUACAGCUGUAUUAUAAUUAGCAUAAUUGUUAGUGUGAGUAUAAUUAUGAUUUUUUCUCCGUUAUGUGUGACACGGCGAUAUUCAUUCUUUGUAGGUUCCUCUUGUCAGAUGAAGUUGUUAAACUCUAGUGCACUGCUGGUUGAGCCUAUAGAGAGUAGAAAGUUUUCAAGAUUUUCCUUGCAGUACACAGAUGUGGAAGAGAAGCCUAGUGGGGAUACACAAUGGGAGCCUAGAUUUGCCGGUCAUCAGACUCUCCAAGAAAGGGAAGAAUCAUUUUUUGCUCGUGACCAGAAAAUAAACUGUGGAUUUGUAAAAGGCCCGAAAGGAUUUCCAAGCACUGGAUUUGAUUUGGCAGAAGAUGAUGCAAAGUUUAUGAGUAGUUGCCACAUAGCUGUAUCUUCUUGCAUCUUUGGAAAUUCAGAUAAUCUUCGAACGCCGUAUGGCAGAACGGUAUGUGAUGACUAAUUGUGGUGUUCCUUUAUAUGAUAAGCUUGUGUUUUAACUGAGGUCCUAGUUCAUAAUUAUUCAUCACUACAUUCUGUGAUGAAAUGACUGAUCAUUAUAGCUACAACUUUUGUUAGAAUAUUGAACACCUUAACCAUAGCAACAAAACACCAACUGGGCAGCACAUUAGAAGAAAAAAAAAAUUUAUCAAGAAAAUUACAACUUUUGUUGAGAAGUCCUGGGAGAUGUAUUGUGGCAGCAAUAGCAUUUUGUUGUUGACUUGUUUCCAGAUGACUUUCCUAUCCAUUGAUCAACUGGUAAUUGUUGCAUUAUUGAACGUUGCACUGUAAAGUAAUUAAGCAUUAUACUCUGUUCUUUGUCUCAUCCAAUGAGAAUAUGGCGACGUGGAUUGUAGUUGCUGUCGUUAUUGCAACUAGUAUAGGUUUAUGCUCUUAGUAGACUCACCUAAGCAAACCUAAAAGGACUUUACAGCGAACAGUUGCAUAUGUGCUCUUUAUUUUGUACAUAUGGUGUUUGUCAUUUAUUUUGUACAUAUGGUGUUUGUCAUUUAUUUUGUACAUAUGGUGUUUGUCACAUGGGUGAAAAUAUAUCAAUUAGACUAACCUUAACCGAAUUUUAUUGGAAAUAUUUUUUCCAAGGCAAUCUACUUAAAGGUAUGUUUAGAGGUUCUGAUUGGUAAUUCAGCUUCCAUGCCUUCUCAUCAUUGCAGGUUACACGUUUGUCAAGGAAAAAUGUUUGCUUUGUUAUGUUCGUGGAUGAAAAAACAUUGCAAACACUAUCCUUGGAAGGGCAGAAGCCAGACAGAAUGGGAUUUAUUGGAUUGUGGAAGAUUGUGUUGGUGAAAAAUUUACCUUAUGCUGACAUGCGGAGAGUGGGCAAAAUACCAAAAUUUUUGACACAUCGACUCUUUCCUUCAGCGAGGUAUGAUAAAUUAAUUAUGUUGAAGCCACUGUUUCUAAUUCUAUAUUUAAGUCAUAGAAUUAUUGCACUUUCCCCAGUAUCUGCUCCUGAAAAUGUACAUAUCAUAUGCAUCAAUUCUUUACUGCAAGCAUUUUGAAUUAGAAUUGAUAGAUUUAGAACUGUCAUCUUAGGUUUUGGCAUAUUUUAUCACCCAAAGUCCUGUGCAGGUUUGAUCUUUUAUUGACCUGUGUAGUGGUAGGCUUAGAAAACUGCAAUUCCUUGUCAUAGUCAUUGACUUUGUCAAGCAUGGAAUGUCUUCUUUUUGCAACUCUAUAGAUAGGGUAGUUCAAAUGAGUUGAAUAAUGGAUCUUCUGUAAGGGUGAUGUCCAAGGUGGGGAGAUCUUCCCCACAAAAAAACCUUUUAUUCAUUCUGUAGGUCCACAUCUGGGUAGUGGAAUUUAGGCCACGACCCGAAUUUUAAAAAAUAAAAUAAACCUAGGCCGUAACAAUUUCUAACUCAAAAACCAGAUCCACACAAAAAUCUUAAAUAAAAUACAUCAUUGAAAUAUCUAAAGAUCUCUACUGGUCCAACCAAGCGGUCUGCCACAGCUCCAUAGCUCUAAUCUAUCCUGCCUGCAUUCCAAAUGGAAUUCCAAAUGGAACACACCACGUGCAAAACAAAGCAACAUGGGUCAGCAUAAAAGCUGGUAUGAGUAAACAAAGGGGAAAUCUAUUGCCACAAAAUAACAUAAUAAAUAUAAAGUUCCAACAUAUGAUUAACUUUAAAGAACAAAUUUUCAAUGCUAAGACAAUAAACAUACGCCAAAAAUCAUAUCAAUUCCAUUAUAUAUUUAAACUCUUUAUCCAUUAUAUAAUCACAUGCUUAAUUCCAUUAUUCAAUUCUAAUUUAUCUAUUUACGAUGUUCAUUGAUUGAUAAUACAAACACAUUACCUAAGCAACAACUGUCUUUAAGGAUAGGUCUAUCCACCUGCACAAAAUAAAUUAGUUGACCUAUCCACCUGCAAAAUGGAGUUAAUACAUAAUAGACAAAUAUAAUAAAGAUAAACCAAAUCACAUACACGUUACGUGUUAUAUAAUACUUUGUAUCAAUCUGAAAAUACAUUCCGUUAAUUCAAACCAUUCAUAAUGACUCAUUCCAACUCUUCAUAGUUUGCAAUCUACCAAAAUGACAAGUCCAAUUAUGACUAUUAAUUCUCAUAAUAAAUAAAACAUCGCAGUUCUUCCACAUAAUCAUUCCGGUUCAUAAUCAAAGUAUAUAGAAUUUACCCAUAUCAUUAGUUAACACCAAGCACUACAAUACCAUAAGCCUUAGCACACUACCAAAUAAUGAAUCCAAAGUCACAAAACCACGUCCUGGUCUCUAGCCGGUGCUCGGGUUUAACAAUCAUAAAAAUCACAACCUAUGCCCAAUCACUAGUAAACCUCCCACAGGAUGCACUCCACACAUUUGCCAUACCCACAUUGCACCAGUGUGCCUUGACCAUGGUUAAGAACCUCUACGCGGAAACCAAAACCCAAGUGGGUGCUCACCUGCAAGCUUUGGUUAGCCUCGACGUAUGCCUAACUCAUGAUCUCUAAUACCUCCCCUUCGCUUUCUAAUGUGGCGCCCAGACCAACCCCAAAGGCUAAGAAGGUCUGAAGGGUCAGUUCCGCAGGUUAUGCCGCCUAGGAAAUACCCAAAUAUAAUCCAAGAGUCAACCCGCAGGCUAAGCCGUCUAGGGUGAUAAGUAGUUUCUUUAACCUAAUUCCAGAGGUGCGGCAAAUGUACUAAUGUUUGGGCAACAACUAAAACUAACUAACAAACAAACUAGCAUUACGUGCCAAGACAAUUAAACACAUUAAUCUCGUAUUCCAAAACAUUUUCAUUAUCCCAAUUUAAUAUACCGUCCAUGGUAUCAAACUAUUCCAAAUCAUUCCAUAAUUAAAUCCCAAGUUCAGUAUUCAUUUCGUUUCUAUUCAUAUACCAUCCAUUGGUAUGGAGCCAUUCCUAGGCGUUCAUCAAUAUAACUUUUCAAAUUCCUUUAAACAUACUUAAUCAAGUAUCAUGCCACGAUACAUAGUCAACUUCAAUAUUUGCGAUACUCUUAGUCUAACUCAAGAACAACCAAAAUAAUCAAAUGGAUAAAUUGACCAACCUAUAAGAUAGCAUUUAUGCUAAAAAAGAAAUCUUUACACAUCAAUCUGCCAAACAAUAACAUUGAUUUUUCAAAAUUCCUCGAUUUAAAGAUGCUCGUUGUAAUUAGAUAAGUUUAGGAUAUAUCAUUGUACUAUCAAUAUUCUACUCGCUAUAUAAGUUUGAAACCGUUUCAGUAUGGGAAAAUAAUAACAACUGUUUUAUUCACUCUUUACCAGAUUCCAGUAACACUAUUAAUCUAUGUCAUACUUUUCGCAUAUUUUAAGCCAUUUUACCUUCACAAUUCAAAAUACUUCUGAACUUAUCAACUGUAGCCUUGAAAGUCUACUUUUCAGAACAAACAAAAUCAUUCAAAAAUACCAAAUAACGAAUUUUCUAUAUAUUUUCUACCACAGCCACGCAAACAGAAAAGUAGCAGUAAAAUUAUACUGGAUAUCUGAAAACAACUGCAUUGAAUAAAUUAUUCAGAAUUAAUUACCCAACGGAAAAAUCUGAAAUUUAUAUAUGUUGUUAUACAUUAAGUAUUCUAACUACCAUAAAAUUUUCAAUAAAAGUUAUUAAGUCUAGGGGCAUCAAAACCUUGCGAUACUGAAACUGUACAAGAAACCAAAAACUGCAACAGUUGCCAUACUUGCAAGUCCCUUUUCACCAAAUUAAAAUAACUUUCGUAAAUUGGUCUUAACUAAUCGAAUGAAGACCCUUCAAUCUACUGUCUAGGGUUUUUAAAACUAAUUAAAAAUCUUUUCAAACGAAUUUUCUAUGAUUUUUCAAAGACGAGUUAAAAAUCUGAAAUUACUGAAACAUGAAUAGAAAAAAAAAAAAAAAAAAAAAAAAACGUCAACUCACUUGUAUAAGCAUAAAAAUCCAAAUCUUCUUCUAGCUUUCUUCUAAUUCUUUUUCUUCUUCUCCCAAAUAUGGUGUUGUAAAAAAAAUGAAUGAAAACCCUAAGAUAUAAAUAAUAUGGAGAAGUUAAUGGGCUUUAUUUUUGGACCAUAAAUGAAUUUGCUACCCAACCCAAUUCUAUCUAAUUCUAUUUUUUUUAAUAAUUAAUAUAUCAUCCUUCAACUUAAUAGAAAAUUAACUCUAAACCCUUAAAGACAUGUAUGCAAUAUUUCAUAAUCCAAUAAAAUUUAAAGAAUAAAAUUUUAUAAUAUAAACGGGGUUUUACAAGCACAGUGUUUCCCUGAAACAAAAUGUUUAAAUGGCUAGGUCAAUGUCUGAACUUAGUGUCGGCAAGCUGCAAUGGUACAGGUGUAAAGAACACCAGUGUGAAGGUAAAGAAAUAGUAAUUUAAUAUGUGGUGGGUGUCGACACGUGGUAAAGGGAGGAAGUGAUAUAUUUUAUAAGUUUUGAAAUGAAAAUGUUGUAACUUGUGAUCAGUGGCGUAGCCAGGAAUUUUGAUGAGGGGGAGCAGUGUUGCACCCCAAAUCAAUAUUUUGUGAAAUUUUACAGUAUACAAAAUAACCAGAAAAAUACGAUUAUAAAAUUAUUAAUUUUAAUUAAAAAUACUAGAUUAAUUUUUUUUUAACACAAUUCAAAAUUGGAUCACACAAAAUUAUUAUUUUUUAAGAAUAAGAUAUUAAUAAUUUAACAGGUGAAAAAUUAAAACCAAUUUCAUUACACAAAAUAUUAUUAGUGGCAAACCUAGGUGUAUAUUGAACUACUGGAGUAGUGGACAUCAAAUUGAUGAUGGGUAUGACAUUUGACAUAGCAUAUUAGAAUUGAUGUGGGUCCCAUUAUAAACCAUAUUUAUACGUGGAUUCGAUAUCGAUAUUAUUAGCCACUUUUUAUGGCUAAUGAACUGGCCAAAAAUAUAAAGGACUAUGAGGACCUUACCAACAUUAACUUCAAAGAAACAAGGAUCAGAAAUUAGUUGAUUAUCAAGGAUAUAUUGUGAUGCAGUCGUGCAUAAAGAUAUGUACUUUGAACCGAAUUCAAAGAACUACGACGAUUUUCGGGAUUCGACAACCAAUGUUCUUAACCAAGAACUCACACAACGAGAAGACUCUUCUCAAAACACACAAUUCAAUUAACCAAUCAACACUAACUUGGCCAAAGGCCCAC